CAGCCCACUUGGUUCUAUCGCUCCUUGCUCGCGGAGCGGCAUACCGGAAAAAAGAAGGAUUCAAUCCAGCCCGUAGGUUAUCCCUACAGCUACCUUGUUGCGAACGAAAGCCAAGCCCCCUUAUGGGUCGCGGCGGACUAGGUCGAAGAAGAAGUGCUCGUUCAUGUCGUCACCCCAAUUAGAAGAAUUACGAUGGUACGGAACAAUGAAGUUACGUAAUCCUUUAUUAAGUAUUAAGGGCGUUGACAUUGGCGUCCGGCGACUGAUAAGAAGACUCCUGCUGAGCAAUUGUAGCAGCUCUGGCACCCAUUGACUGCCGCUGUUAGAACACCACAACAGUAACCACCUUUUUAACAGUAACCACCUUUUUGGGGUUAAUGCUUUCAAUGGUGAAUCGAGGAAAAGAUUUCCUUUUACGAGAGUGCCUGAAAGGCAGAAAAGUAAGAAAGCCUGCGAUGGCUACUGAAUAACCUCCUUUGAUUUUACGACAAAUAAGGCCUUUUACCUUUGUAUUCGUUCGCCAAAUCUUGUUCAGUUUCAUCCAAGCUCGGUUUUUUCUGAAUCUUCGUGGAAGAAGAAGAAGCGGUUCACCAGCCACUAGAUCUGUGGAUCCCACCAAUUUAUUAAACCUGGCGGCUGCUCGCUCUUUGAUCAGCGAUUCACCGGCCACUAGAUCGAUGAAGAAUCUCUCCAAAAUAUGCUUUUUGAUCAGUGAUUCACCGGCCACUAGAUCCAGGGAUCCCACCUUAUUCUCAAACCUGGUGGUUCGGUUGAUUGGCACUCCUGUAGGCUCAUCUUGCAUACAAAUUCUGGGGGUCCCAAGUCCUGCAUCCAUCAAGAAAAUGUCUUCCCUUAAGCGUAAAACUUCAGAUUGUAAGGCGUUUCCACUACAUAAGAAAAAACUUGAAUUAGAUCUUGGAAAUGAUCGACUCAAAUAGAUGGUCAUCAUAAGCUAUUUAUUUUCCUCCUCUUCCUAUUGAUCAGAAGCAUCCGGCAGCGCCAUAAUAUUCCGCUAGCUAUAAUUGCUAUAAUACUAAUUAUAAUAAUUGAAGACGGUUGACAAUAUAGGGACUCCAGCGGGGAUGGAACGAAACUACCGAAUUGACUUACAUACCAAUCGUGCUUUGGUACGCUCAGCCCCAUACGGGGGGCAUAAUCCAUAUACCACUCAUGGUAUUCUCUAUUAAGUAGAAAGUGCAGCUUUCCCGUGAGUAAAUCCGCAGAAGUCAUGUCCAAUUCCCGUUGGAGAGACUGGAUAUAUGCCGGCUGGAUUGUACCAUUAAAAAAUUCAUGCCGCUGCACAACCAAAAACUUAUUGAACUUCGAUAGCGCUGAUAUCGUAUGAGGAUCACUUAUUUCACCCGGGAUCCAAACAGACCCGGAAAUGAAAUUAGGUGCUCUAUAGACCGAAGAUAACAUAGAAUAAGGAACCGGCACCCCUUGCAGAACAAUAUUUGUAUGUGGAACCAUGAGUUAGCUUUUCAAAUCUCUAUAUAAAAUAUAAUGGGCCCUGGGAGCUAUCUGCCCCAACAAGCUGGGAGCUAUCUGCCCCAAGCUGCGAGCUAUAAUAGUCAUAGCUCCAUAAGUAUAAAAUAUAAUGGGCGAUGCGAGCUAUCUGCCCCAACAAGCUGGGAGCUAUCUGCCCCAAGCUGCGAGCUAUCUGCCCCUGCCCCAAAGAGUAGGUCGUUCUUGUAUAUGCUCACUAAUUCGUAUAUCCCCAAGGAACUCUUUCCUCUUUUUUCAAAAAGCCGCUCCACAGUGGUAAAGUUUCAUCUUGUGUGUUCGCCGAAGUGACAAUAGUCGCGUUGAACCCUCGAAUAUGUUCGAAGAUCUCGAAAUGCUCUCCCAGUUCCGGGGAUAAUUCGCAAAACUCCGUUUCCAUCGAGAAUUGAAUGGAGUUUUCCCGUAUUUCGACCGGAGAAUCUAACAGAGACAUUACUGUGGAGAUUCUGAACAAAAAAUGAGACAUUCCAUGCCCUCGGAGAGCGCUUUGUCGUGCUAGGUCUAGGUUACUGACAGACCCCUUAUUUGAGCCCAAGAAUGGAUUGGAUCGAAACGACUUUCCUGUCGAAGCCCUUAUUUUCUGUAUUAAUUUUUGACCGCACGGAAUCUCCAUAGCAAAUUUUCCAUUUUUUAUUAUGAAAUCUGAAGGUGCCGCCUUUGGUACUACUCUUAUUUUACACGAUCCAGGAACUUCCAUAACGUUGGCGUGAUUCGGUUUGAGCAGCAGAUCCUGACGUGAUACAUCUUCGUAAUUCAAAUGGAGUGGAAACAUGAGUUAGCUUUUCAAAUCUCUAUAUAAAAUAUAAUGGGCGCUGCAAGCUAUCUGCCCCCAAGAGUAGGUCGUUCUUGUAUAUGCCCACUAAUUCAUAUAUCCCCAAGGAACUCUCAAAAGAAGACAAAAGUUUCUCAGAACCUAGAGUCUUCUUUCACCCGAGAUCCAAGUCAGCACCGGCAAAGAUCUCUUGCUUCCUCGCGGCCGGGCCGGCUUGGAAGCAAGCUACCCGUUGCCUAUCUCACCCCUUUCCCCUUUUCAUAACAUAAUAAGGUAAGCUUCCAAAGCUCCUUCCUUCAGCUGGGUGAGCCUUCGCUUUUUUUUUUUGAUUGUCUUCUGCCCAAUGCGGUACCCCCGUUUUUUGGUUCCCAUUGGGUUUACCUUGUUCACAGGUCGACCCCAUGGCAGCAAGAAAAGGCGAUCUUGUGCUAUACUCCGGUGAUCUCUUUCCUACCGAGGCACGCAAACUCCCAUCGUGUCCCAGAUCACAUUCCGUGAAUCGAAAGGAGAAGCCUACUCAUCCAUCAGCUCCUCUCGUAGAUCGGUGCGGUUUUACGAAGCGUCUAAGCACAGUUCACUCGCGUUGAUCAAUCAAGAGGGUUGCCGCCACUCCUUAAGGUUACCUGUUGUAUCAUACACUUCUUGCAUUCUUUCCCACGCUUCAUACCCCCCUCUUUUAAGAUAAGGUAAAGGGCCAGGCAUGGUGGGGUAGGAGCAUCCAGUCGGCAAAUCUUUUUUUGGCUUGACCAAGAAGUCUUAUGUCCUACGAGUCGCACGGCGUUUUAACCGAAAGCCCUUCUUUUAAGCUCCUCCCAGAUACAUGGCUUACAUACCCGGCCCAACAUUCUUGGAAAACAAUCGAAUCGACGGUUCGGAGGAGAAUUGGCCAUUCAAUCUUGUGAACUAAUCGAGACCAAAAUUGGAGAAAGAGAUACAAACGGAGAGGAAUAACCAAUCGAUGAAAGAACAUGAAACCAUUCUGUUUCAAUAGAGGUACGAGAAAGGGUUGGGGGCAAUGAAGUAGGUGAAGUGGUUGGAUUUUGCAAGCUGUUCCAACCACUGCUGGAUGUGAUUCCAAGAGCCGAACGAGAAUGAAUACCACACAGAAGAGUCAAGACCAGGCUCCCUAAUGGAAUGUUUAACCGAUCCAUUCCGGAUCGACCGAAUUGGUACGGAAGUUGUAACAUGGGAAAACCACAGAAAACACGACUUAUUUGAAUAACCCAGUGACCUACCAAUUGUAGAAGUAGGAUUUUUGGCAAGCAAUAAGCACUUAAAUAAUACAAUUCAAGUGUACCAUCUUCUUUAUCAUUUCGAGGAAAAGGUGCGGAAGGAAAAGGAAACAGCGGAGGGAUCCGAAUCGGACCUAAAUGGGAAUGACAUGAAAAGUCUUUUUCAAAACCUAGCAUUAAGGGUGUUACGACGAUAUACGAGAGGAAUAGAGAAAAACUCGUGAUUGGUGUGGAGGGGAAGAUCUGUUUAUGAUAUAGUGAAAGAAAGAGUCGUCUCAUUUCCUUACUUCUUCGUUCUUUCUAAUUCAUUCACUUCAAGACUGGUUCUGAACGCCGCAUAACAUCAUCUUCAACCAACCUCCACCGUACGUACCUUUCGGUGCGACCACUAAAGAAUUGCUUAUACACUAAACAGCUCCUUAUAUAUGACGCUUACUAAAAGACCGAGUUUCAUUAGAAACCGACGAGCUCUUCUACUUGCAUCACUGCAAGCACUUCGACCGCAUACGCAAACGUAGAAGACAUUAGUCCGUUAGAGACCAAAUCGUGAUAGAACCUAAGAAGGUCCUCAUACCCAUGACCCGAAUUUACCAUUACAUCUAUAAGGGUGUCGGGCCCCUCGGGUAAGGGGACUCCUUUUUUUUCUAAAAGAACCUCCAGUUUCCGCGCUAUACCCUCUAUCAGGACGUCGUCCGCUACGUCCAUGAUAGAUUCAACAGCGGCCUCCUUAUGGAGGGUGGUAAGAUGCGGAAAGUGAAGCCGCGACAGCGUUUGAAAUGCCGUGGCCGCGGUUAGGCCUAAGCCAAAAAUUACAAACGCAGUUAUUUCCGGUGUAGUCAUAUUCCCUGGUUUUUCCACUUUUUGGCUUCUUGGCUGGAAUCAUAAAGAUAAAGGGGUUGUAUCCUUUCUGAUGAUCUUUUGCAUCACAAUCACAUCAAGGUGACAGGAUUCGAACCUAUGGCCCUCUGUACCCAAAACAGAUGCGCUGACCAGACUGCGCUACACCUCGUCUCACCACCCCGGAGCAUAUAGAUCCACCCGAUCGAUGAACACUCAAACCGAACUCGCCCAUCCUUUUGGGCACGGGGACGCGAGAACCAAUCUGAGUAAUCAACCGCUUUUUAUCUGCCUCCAGCAAGAUAGGGCGACGCCAAAAAAAAGCCUAUAGUGCAGGAGCGCUCACAUUUUUUGGCUUACUCUUUAACUUUCAUUUUCAAAUCCGGCUCGCUCCCGGCCUUUGGACCCUUCGCCCGCUUAGAAGUGGAUUCGAACCACUGACACAAGGAUUUUCAGUCCUUUGCUCUAACCAGCUGAGCUACCUGAACCACCUUCCUAAAGUAUGUUUUCUUCAAGGAUAUUUUCAGUCCUUUGCUCUAACCAGCUAAACUACCUUACCACUUGACUAAAGUAUGUUUUCUUCAUCGAAUAGCGCCCUACCUUACCACUUGACUAGUAAGGGAAAAACCCUAAACUAAAAAUAAAAGAAUUGAUAGGCUUUUUCGCUUGUUCGUCAAGCUUUCGAGCAGCUCUUUGCCGCCUAAUCCCCCAACCAUGCUCAAUAACCGAGAGCCGUCCAGGGACUGGACUCCACCAAGAGGUUCUUUCUCUCACGUAAUUUCGCCCGCCCGUUUCACUUCCGUGCCGGAGGAAAUGGGAUUCGAACCCAUGAUACAAUCUUCUUGUAUGUCGAUUUAGCAAACCAAUGCCUUAAGCCACUCAGCCAUACCUCCAAGUUGUUGAUCGGAAUGGAAUUUUAUGCGCCGGGUUUGGUUGGUUGCCCGAAGGGCUAUCUGAUCCGAUCAACUGCGUAAGCCGUAGCGCGCUAGCGCGCGUACUCUUCCUCUAUCUAUAGAGCGAGACUCCCCACCCAAAUCUGCCAUUCGUUGGGCGACGCCUUCUUUUCUAUGAACACCCCACCGCUGAAUGAUGAACUUUGCAAGUUUUCGCCUGCGACCCGACCAGGGGGGAACACACAAGCCCUUACCCGCCUGAAUGGAAUGAAUAUCUCCCUCGUCUGGUCGAGAAGGGAGAAGCCCGGGGAACUGGACUGUGACUCUUCUAUUAUAUUACGAAGAAGUCCAUUCUCGUCAUGAUCGAUCCACGUCCUACCGUAGUGCCCGGAGAACCAGGCUUGCUUGGCUUACAAAGCUAGCUUACUAACGCGAAGUUUUUUUUCGUUGAUUGCACGAGCUAGCCAACAACCCCCCCUUACUCACCUCCCGCUCUAGAAAAAGCCCUUUCUCCUUUUAACUAGGAGAGAAAGCUCCGCGAGCUGCCCCCUUACUCUAUAGAAAUGGAUGGAAAUGCCCGCCUUGAUCAAUGCGAAAUUGAUCGAGAUGGGAUCAUGAUUUGAUUGGAAAUGCGUAAGUAAGAGGAGAUGGGAGUAACCGGGCGUUAUAUAUACUAUGAUUCACCUUUUUCAUUUCUUUCAUUUUUUAGAAACUGGUGAUGUACUUCUAUAGCCUUUAGCCUUUCUAGUGAAGUUCACUCCUUUGGUAUUGGAAACCUCCUUAUCUUCUUUUAGCAGCAGAAAAUUCCUUCCUCUUUGCUGCUACAACGCGCGGUUGCUAUUAGCUUAUUUAUUUACUUGAGGCAUAGGCGCAUAGGCGGGAUAGGGCUUUGCUUUAGCAUAGGGCGAAAAAUAAGCUCUAUAAGCCGAAAUUGAGUACCCGUAAACCCUGGAGUUCCUUUUAUUUAUCAUAGGGUAGGGGGCGGCUUUGAAGCUAUAGAAACAAAAAGAAGGCUACUUACUUUGCGAUAGGAGCUUGCGCGUGGCCCCAAGCUAUAUAGGAAAUCAAAUAGCAUAGGCAUCGCAGCGGCUACUCUUUUGCGCUAGGAGUUCUGAAUUUAUCGUUUAGUUUUGCUUUCAUUUAGGAGUGAAAAGGAACUUAUGAGAUGAACGUAAUCUAUAUCUCUCCUUUCUUUGGUUAGGAACAAUUCACAAUAGCUUGCCUUAACAUCGAAUAACAUAGCGAGCGGCUACUAGCUUGCUGCGGCUCUUACUAUGAGCUUAGGUUCCAUAGCUUUAGGAGCCUUCAACAAAAAUAGAAUAGCUUUGCUUAGCGGCGACUACUUUCUUUCUAGUAGCUGCUUCGCUUUAGGAGCCAUUUAUUUGGUGUAGAACCACAUAGCUUGCUCCGAAACUAUUGCAUUGAUAAGCAGGGCUUACCGGUACAAUAAAGCAGUCCAUUUAUUAAUCCUUCGCAAAUGUUGCUCUAAAACUCUUUUAGCUUGAGCGAGUGCAAUUUAUAUCAUACUUGCUCGCGCAAGUCAUUUCUUGCGCUCGCUCUAGCAGCAAGGAGAGUUCUGCAAGGUAAUUGCGCGGGCCUUACUAGCUUUGCCUGCUUGGUUGUACAGCUACUAAAGCAAGGCUAUUUUGCUAUUCUACAGCUUGAAAAUGGCUCCUAAAGCUGACUACUAGCAAGAGCUAUGCUCAUUUUUUUUAGGGCUCCUAAAGUUAUUGAAUUGCUCCGCUCCUAAGCUACUAAGCUAUCUAGGAUCCGCAAUUCUUUGAUAUUAAAUACCUCCCUAAGCAAGAUAGUUGCUCCUCUCCUAAAGUACUAGCACGAGCUAAUAGCAAAAGCAAAGCUAGUAGCCAGCCGCUGCUAUCUCUUCCUAUAUAGCAUAGCUUCCAAAUAGCCCAAAGCUAUUGUCCUAUAGAGCUUCCACCCUCCCUACGCCAAAUCAAAGGAGCUACUAGAACAGCUAAGGUAGUAGCCUUUGAUUUAGCUCUAGCAGCUAGGAAUUGAGCUUUCAAGCUUUGGUUUCAUUUAGCUGUAGCUUCUUUUUUUAUUUAAAGCCUGUAUCAGCUUGGAGCACACUCGAUUGAACUCACACAGGGAGCAGUCUUACCCAACAACGGUGUUACAGGACGUCGACAUUGGCCAAUGAGGAGAUUAGGCGGCAAAGAGCUGCUCGAAAAGGGUCAUGGUUGGCCCAGUACAUCCUCUUGUGCCUCGCCCCUCUCUCUAAAGGUCUUGGUGCCGAAGAAGGCUCGUGGCGCAUGUGCGUGGAUUAGGAUUCUCGCGCCCUUAACAAGAUCACAGUAAAGAAUCGCUAUCCUUUGCCAAGGAUAGAUGUCUGAUUCCCAUUUGACUAGUUAAGGGAGCCCGUUACUUCACCAAGAUAGACUUAAAGUCGGGAUACCACCAAGUGCAAGUGGUGGAAGGCGUUGGAAGACCGCGUUAAAGACAAGGCAAGAGUUAUAUGAAUGGGUCGUCAUGCCAUUCGGCCCUAUUACGGUAAGGCCAACGCACCUGCAACCUUUAUGCGGCUGAUGAACGAUGUUCUUAGGCCUUAUUUAGAUUGGAUGAAUUCGUCACGGUCUACGACGACGACAUCUGGUUUAUAGCAAGACCUGGGAGGAGCAUCUGAAACACGUAGAGGCUGUUCUAGAAGCUCUGCGUGAGCACUAGCUGAAAGCCCAUACGGAGAAGAGCUUACUUAUGAGCAAAAAGGGAGGAGGGAGCUGGUAUACUUGGGGCACAUCAUCGGCUCAUCCGGAGUCAAGAUAGGUCCUGAGAAGACGAAGUCUGUCCGGGAAUGGUCAACCCCCAAGUCGCUGGCGGAGGUAAGGAGUUUCCUCGUGCCCACAAUUUCUCGCAAAAGUGGCUCAGAAGGAACGCUAGCUAUAUGCUUAACCACACAGGUAGCGUGUCCGCGCUUACGGCUUCCAAUCGUUAGCUUUCUUUCUUCAGCAAAGAAAGAGCAGGAAUAGCUCGGUCAUAGGUACCAUACGAAGAAAGGUCUUCCGUUCAUUGAAGAAAAGAGAAAACGAAUAAAAAAGCAACAACAAGCUCUAACUCGGGAAUAAAAUAACAACUGGAAUGCUUCAUCUCGUAAGCAGACUUUGAUUGAUCGAAUGCUUUUUCUCUACUACUUCAUUACUUUUAUAUCUAGGUCUACCAUUAGGCACCCUUCAUUCUAAAUAAGUAGUUUACAGGGAGGAGUUCGAUCCAUUAGGUUCUUCGAUUUGUUCAGAAAAGAAAGGAGAGACAAGAAAACAUCUUUGAUUACGAUUAAAAGAGAACCAAAACACUUUUUUUUUACUAUCGCAGUCUCGACCAAAAUUGUUUCGGCACCGGAUUUUCAGGACAACCCGGAAGACCUUUUUUAAGUCCGUUAUAGCAAAAACCAAUGAAUUUGCGGCGAUAUCUCAUUUCUUGGAAGCUACUAUAAAAGGGGAGCGGGAAAGCUGCAGUAAUUCUUUGUAAAAGCCCUCUCUCUUCUCUUUGUCUUCGAGCUUCCUUUAAUCUAUUGUUUCCGUUUCUUCAUAUACCUCCCCACCAAUAGAUAGAGACAAAUGGGAAUAGCCGAACCACGUCUACAAAAUGCCAGUACCAUGCAGCUGCUUCAAAGCCAACGUGAUGCUCCUUGGUCAGAUGACCAAGAUAUUGGCGAAUACCACAUACGAUCAAGAAAAGAGUACCUAUAAUCACAUGAAACCCAUGAAAGCCCGUUGCUAAGAAAAAGGUAGAACCAUAAAUACUAUCCGAAAUAGUGGAGGGUGCUUGAUAAUAUUCCAUUCCUUGAAAGCCCGUGAAUACUAGAGCCAGUGAAACGGUAGCUACUAAAGCGUAAACAGCUCGCUUUUCCUUCCCCGCGAGUAUAGCAUGAUGAGCCCAAGUUACGGCAGCUCCGGAUGAAGGGAGAAUAAGGGUAUUAAGAAAAGGGAUUUCCCGAGGAUCUAAAACCCCAAUCCCCUUUGGGGGCCAAAUACCUCCGAUCUCUACCGUAGGUGCCAAAGAGGAAUGAGAAGAAGCCCAAAAAAGAGCAAAAAGGAACAUAACCUCCGAUACGAUAAACAGAAUAAAACCAUAUCGAGGUCCUAAUUGUACGACUUUGGUAUGAUGUCCUUCCAACGUGGAUUCACGUAGAACAUCGCGCCACCAUACGAACAUAGUAUAUAGGAGAAAUAUGAGGCCCAAACUGAGAAGUGUUGCACCCCCUUGAAAUGGGUGCAUGUACAUCACACCUCCUACGGUGGUUGCCAAAGCUCCGAGGGAACCCGAAAUAGGCCAUGGACUUGGAUCUACCAAAUGAUAAGAAUGCCUCUGAGAUUCAAUCAUAAACUACUUUGCCUCGGUUGGUAUGUAAACCCCCCUUCACCCCCACCCCCUAAAGUGGUAAAGAAGGGCUCUUUGGGGUAUAAUUUUCUUUCUAUCUGACCAGGGCAAACAAAUAGGAAGGGAUGGUUCUUUCAUUGCAUUGAUAGAAGUCUAACUAUAAAAGGAUCUAUCUAUUACUUUGUGAGAAGAGAGUCGUUGGUUUGACCGACAGACGACUACGCGGGAAAGCAGAGAUCUUGGCAAGCCAAGCAUGGGAGACGGAGCUGGGCGAUAAUAGCUGCUCCGCAUCCCAAAGCGCGCUGCCCUCCUAGGCGCGCAACACUAAGUAAUCCAAGCCAACCCACAUUACUGACUAACGGUGGAUAAUCAUAUUUCCUUUUCGUGCCAUAUUAUUAUACUUUACUUUCUUUUUCCAUUUUUUAUUCCCGGUCCAGUAUUUGUUCUCGAAGGCCGUAGUACUAUGGUAACCAAGAUCCAUAAUAUGAAAACCCAAAUGAGAAUGAGAGUCCGAAGGAGAAUCAUAGAUAAGGCAAAGCGUUUUUACCCGUUAUCCCCUAAGAUCUCAAUCAUAUAGUUAGAGUAGGGGCCGCGUUCUCUGAUAUCUCGCUCAACCCUAGCUAGGAAUUUAAUUUCCCCCCUGUCCCUUUGUUCCAGGCUCCACUCUCGGUGGGUUUUGUCCCCACUAACUAAUUACGACCACUGAACAAACUUGGUUGACGAACAUGGUUUAUGCGCCGCUAAUGUAGCGGCUUGUCGAGCAUUUGACAAACUCACACCAUCCAUUUCAAAUAGGAUUUGUCCCGUGGACACACGAGCAAUCCAACCCGUAGGAUUUCCUUUUCCUCUUCCAUUCUGACUUCUGUAGGUUUCCCGGUAAUAGGGAGAUCUGCGAGAACUCUUACCCAUAUCUUACCAUUUUUUUCGGAAUUUUCCGCUCAUAGCACGAUGGAAUUGUCCGAUUAUAGCCCGACGCGCUGCUUCAAUGGCUCGAUAUGCAAGACGCCCCGCUCUACAACUUUUAGUGCCAUAUCUUCCAAAACCAAGUUGUGUACCGUCCGGUUUGCAACCCCUACUACAUCUGCCUUUACGAUAUUUACUAUAUUUUCUACGUUUCGGAUAUAGCACGUCCCCUUUUUUGUAGACUAUAUGAAAUCCACACUUUGACACCUGAGAUUCCGUAACGAGUAGAUACUUCCGCAGGAGCAUAAUCUAUUUUCUGGUUAAAUACAUUACGAGAUGUUUUUCCAGACUUUCCGCAUUCAGUUCUAGCUAUUUCUGCACCCUUUAAUCGACCUGAACAACAUAUACGGAUCCCCUCCACCCCCUUUUUCAUUACUAAUGGAAUAUCCUUCACUAUUUUACUAAAAAUGGAACGAAAUGAUCUUGUUUUGUUUCUCGGUUGAAAAGAGAUGUCUUGGGCAAUCGGAGAAGCACUUUGAUAAACAGAUUUUAUCUUGACUGACUCAAUUAAGGUAUUAGUAUUUGUUCUAUUAAACAACAAAGAUCGCAUUUUUUUAACUUCGUUCAAAUAAGAGUUGUACCCGUAUGGAAUUAUUCUGUUUCUCAGUAUGAUCUCUAGCAUCAUCUCUAUUCCCUUUAUCAAUUCUCCUACCCCGCCUAGGUCUAUGAAUUUAUCUAUCAAUUCCAUUACCUUAUCCUUACCCAUGAGGUUCCAACAUUUUUUCCUUAAUUUACCCAGGAGUGGUUCCCGGGCAUCCUCAAAAAUAAGGUUCUUAUACACCCCAACCCCACCCCUUGGAAAGAAAAAGGUAGCACCAAAGAAAGGAAAGAGCGAGAUGGUGGUUUUUGUUGUUCCCGCGAAGCGAAGAUCAUUCGCCAAGCGAAUUAAGCGGGUCAACCUCUUUUUGGCUUCGGCCAAAGACUUUUUCUCACCGGUCGAGCUUUCUACAAAAAAAGCGAUGCGAGAACGUAUUCUCUUAUCUAAGCUUCUUCCCUGUGCAUUAGCCCCCCCCAUCGUAGAUGGUUCAGCCACGCCCGAUGCCAAAAAAUGAUUGAGAACUACGACGGGGUCGAAAUGCAUUUUUUUCUUUGUAUUCAAUAAGCAGUAUUGCACGGCCGACAAAUUCAAGGAAGGGCGCACUGAAGGGAGGGUCCUUUUAAGUAGAUGACUCGUCGGGCUGUCGGAGCGGAACUUCUUUUGGAAAAAUAACUUUAAGAACUUCGUUUUUCUGAAAGAGUCGUCAUUUUUGAUCAGGAACGCUAUGUCAUUUACAACCCCGGCGUAUUUCGGAUGCUUGAAGGCCCCGCUGACCCGAAGUGAUUUAGAAAGAAGAAUCUUUAUCGACGGUGAUCGGUCAUGGUAUCCAUAGCGUUGCUUCUUUUUCGGCCAAAUCCAGAUUGCAUUUUUCUUCUCCCGGUCGUCGAGCCCGAUCGACUCGGCUCUUUUCCCUGUCUCCCGGCCUCUCACUUCGUUUCGUUCUUUUUCUGUAUCGUCGCUUGAAUGAAGACACCCGAUCGGCCCGACUUUCCCAAAUGCCCACCACCGGCCCCCCUUCUUCUUUUUCUUUCCGGGUCUGGAUUUUUCGCGUCGUUUCAGUCGUCGUGGUCGACGGGGAAGAAAUAAAUGAAUGAAUGUUCUUUUGGGAAAAUGUAGAAUAAGACACCUACCGAGACGAAAGCCAAAGGUGAGUCUCGUAGGUGGACGUAUCGAACCGAAAUAAGAUCUCAUAUUAACAUCUUGAUACACUGAUUUACCAUAAUAAUAAAUAGAGUCAAUGCUGACUCCGCCGUGGGAAGAGCCGCUUCUUUCUUGCUUGAUAGGGGGGGCUUCCAUUCACCAACGCAGACUAAAAGUGCUCUCCGAACCGUGCUGGAUAGUCACCCAUCACACGGCUCUCAAACCCAACCUGUGGUGUAUCCCGGGAUAAAAAAAUUUGUAUCCUUUGCCCCAUACUUUGAUGAGAUACUCCUCCCCGCUGAUCAAGCAGCGACGCUGCUCGUGAUAAGCCUAGCUUUAAGCUGCUAUCGUUUGGUUCGGAUAAGUCAAGUCCCUUCGGUCGGUUCGCUCAGGUGGUCUUUCCUUAUCUUCCCUAACGUUAAGAUUAUGGUUUGAGAAAGGAGCACCGGCCGAGCGCCCUGAAUGAAUAAAAAAUGGACAGCAGAGGGAAUCAAUGAUUCUUAUUCGACUGAGUUGAAGCUAGCAAGAUGUCGAUUACACACACACCGGGGGGGUUGGUAAGAACUGAGGGACAAUGCCCCCUACCCUAAGUGGGCCUACCGGCGAAGCAACUGGUACUUGAUCGGGCGGGGGCGGUUUGGUUUCGUGCAACGCCCUCGCAGCAGUAAGAGGAAGUUUUUGAAAGGAAACGCCCUUUGUUUUGUAUAGGGUAUAGGGUUCCAAACCUGCCUGAUGAAAAAGCCCUUUCUAUCUUAUUAGUCAAGACUAAACGUCCUUAUUGAAAACGGCCUAGCUAACGAGCAAUCUUUCUAAAGCGCUAACGCGCCUUAUAUUAGAAUCUUAGUAAAGCAACCUUUCGCCUGAACAAGCUUACUUACUAAUUAAUAAAGCGGCAACAAGCGCCCUCCCUUCUUGCUUUAGUUUGAUUGCAGCUAGCGCGAUUGACUAAUAGGAAUAGAAAGUACGGGCUCUUCUCCUGUUUUACGAAUCUAAAACUCUCUUUACUGAGCGAGACUCCACCCAUAUCCCUAUCCCUACUAGUGGUUAUUCUUUUUUUUCCAUUCUAUCAUUUGUUUGACAGCUUAAACUAGGCCCCACUUUAGAUAGGUUUUCGGUCUUAAUCAAGAUAGGUCAAGGGCGCGCCGGAACGGUCGGUAGCUGCUUAGUCUCAUCCGAGAGUAUAAUCUCCUUGUACUUUUUUUUUUCUUUUUUAAAAGAAAAAAAUAAAGAAGGGGGUUGAUUUAGGCUCCUUCCCUUCCACUGCAUAGCUGCGCUAGCAGGUACUACGAGCCCUCUGCCCCACGCAUCUCUAACCAGCUGGCGUGGUUCACCGGUUUCGCCGAAAACUCUCAUUUGUUGAAGCGGGGCAUAGUGCGCUUUAGGUGCCGAGCGAGAAACGUCUCUUCUUUCGUUUCGUUGAUCUGAAACUUAGCACUUGUUUUCUUAUUGAUUCCAGGGGCGGCGGCGUUCUUGAAUGAAGUCUAUCCGAACCCAAUUAGCACUUACUUCUCAGAUCAGGCUAGGCCUCUCCAGCUGAGCUGGGCGCCGGGCCCUGGAUGCGCUAGCGAUUGGCACAUAGGGGAUUGCCCGGGUUUAUCGGCCUGGUAUCCUGCACCUCGCGUUCAUGAUAUCUACAUUCAACGGUGCCCCGGAGACACGGUCGAAGCACGCCCGCCCAGUGUGCUUCUUUCACGACAUGCUCUGGUCCCGGGUGUCUUCCAGUGGUCUUCUAGCGUUAGAAGAAGUCGUGUCCGGGGCGGACAUCUGCAACGUCCUCCCACGCCUUUAUUUUUUUCUUUUUGACAAACGGAAGGAAAAGGCUGCCCCCUUUGGUGACUUUCGCGGUCGCCCUCACUGAACCGACUUGAAUCUGAACUACGAUUUUUCUCAAGUCUUACCGAAAUCGGAUUUCCUUUUCGCGCCAUAUGCGCGUAUACUUUACUUUCUUUUUCCAUUUUUUAUUCCCGGUCCAGUAUUUGUUCUCGAAGGCCCAAACUCUCAAUAUUGAUGACGCUACAGCCCUCUCUCUAUAUCGGUCUCUACUAUCUCAGUUCCUAACUAAACGACGCUUCCCCUCCUUCCGGACAUCCAACUCUACUUUCUCUUCUUGUCCUGAUCGCGCAGUAUACAAAAAAAUGAGAUUAUCGCAAAUAAAAUAUAAGACAUUAAAAAAUUAACCAAAUUUUCCCGAUGUAGAGGCAAUCAAGAAAGCCGCAUAAGUGAAUAUAUAACCUACGGAAAAGUGGGCUAAUCCAACCCAAUCGUGCUUGCACAAUGGAAAGGGCCACCGGUUUCUCUCUCCAACGAAUCAAAUUGGCCAAAGGUGUGCGUUCAUGAGCCCAUGCUAAAGUUUCAAUCAAUUCUUGCCAAUAGCCCCGCCAGGAAAUUAAGAACAUAAAUCCAGUAGCCCAGACCGAGAAACUAUUCAUACCAAAAGGGUUAUAUCCAUUGAUAAGUUGUGAAGAGUUUAACCAUAAAUAAUCUCUUAACCAGCCCAUCAAAUAAGUGGAAGAUUCGUUAAACUGCGAAACGUUACCCUGCCAUAAUGUGAUAUGCUUCCAAUGCCAAUAAAAAGUAACCCAUCCAAUAGUAUUGAACAUCCAAAAAACUUCAAAAUCAAAUGCGUCCCAAGCCGAAAUAUCACAAGUACCGCCCCGUCCCGGCCCACACACUCUAUGGGGCAAGUUGCCUUUGUUCUUCCGGGUCAGGCUUUCAUAUCCUUUCAACCAAAACAAGUUGAAACCUAUCUUCUAGCUUCUAGCGUAACUUUCGCAACACUCUUUUUUUUUCCUGCCGGAAUGUGCUUUUAUUCUAAACAUCAUUGCAUUAUAAAAGUGCUUCGGAUAACUAUUAGCGGUAAUCUACGCCCAGUGUUGCCAGGCAAUUCAAUCCGACUCCGCUUACUAACUUAGUCGAAAGACUAAGCCUUCACCCGGGGCUAGCUGCGUGGCAUCAACCCGUUCGUUAUCACAGAAUGCUUUUCUCGAAUGCAAUGAUGUUUAGAAUAAAGCAAGAUUCACUUGACUACGGUCGCGUGGUUUCUUAUAUAAGAUAUUUCUUAUGCACCGUAGGUCUUAUAGAGAAAGAGAUAGAGUAGAUAAGCUGUGCAAGAGAUAGAGUCUAGUAGCAAGUAUAUGCUUAUACAGCUAUACAGUCUAGUAGCAAGUAUUGCAAAGUAGCUAUAUUGUAUAAAGAGAAUACCUUCUUUUAUGUCCUUUAAUCUAUGCCAUGAAACCCUAAUGGUGCUUCUCGGCAGUAGGUAAACAGCCUUCUCUCUUCCUCCUGACCAACUACAAAAUCUUGAGGAUUGUCGUUCAACGGCUAAACACGAAACAAAAAGGGCCUAGUACCCCGACUUACUAUUUAUUGUACUAAAUGUAAUAUUAAUAUGUGCCUUGGUCAUGGAUUAAAUUAAGUACAUCAUUAAAGAUAUAAUUAAGACUGAGAUCUGAUCAGAGGAUGCUUCUCGUUCAUGCCACGGAACGGAUAGGAAAAAAGAUUGACUAAAUCAAAUAAGGAAGAUAGAAGUAGCUGCAAUUGCUAUUGAAUCUGCUGCGCGUGGAAGGUUUGACGAAGUACCAUUUCAUUUAAUUUCGCAUAGUCCUUUCUUUCGAUCGCAUUAACAUGGCGCUGUCUUCUCUUUAAUCCUCUCGAGUCGAGCAAGAAAGGUAAUCGUAUCAUCCAUGGCUAAAAGACUUUGAUUUCUGACCGGAUAGUCAAUCAAUAUGAAUCGCAGGAAUGAGAAAAGAAAACAAAGGGGGAGCUUUCUAUAUAUUAGCGUAUACCUCUCAUUAUCAGACUCCGAAUUAGACUCAGGUGACUCAGACUUAGACUGAAUUCCCGGGACAUUUCUCUUUAAAAGAAAAAAGAAAAUGGAAUGAAACUCUUACCAGCUGGUUCAAAUCAACCAUUGGACUGAGGCAAGGGUGCCCGUUGUCACCUUACUUGUUCAUAAUGGGAUCGGAGGGGCGCUAAAUUAUUAGUUAUUAGAAAGGAGAAGAUUGCUACUGGUACCUUGAGAGGCUUUCAAUUCACACCUCAAUCUCCUGUGAGAUCUCAUACCCCCUAUGCGGAUGUUUGUACUCCUAUAAAGGUUGCUUUGUGGCGAGGUGCUACGAUUUUUUUCAUUUUACUCUCGUCGAGUUAGCUCACUUCCUUUUCUUUUCUUGAGCUAUAGAGCAAUAGGAGGUUGAUGGUCAGUUCAAGCAAGGGUUCCAUCUUGGCAAAUUCAUUCCUUAUUUUCUGCGUACUCUAGCAUUACCUUUCAACUAACUGGUCUAUUUUUUUCUCUGGCCGGGAUGUCCUGAUAUGGUUUCUGAGUAGUUGUAGUGCACUUAUCGACUGCUAACCGCCAGGUGUGCGUUGUGUAACUCCAGCCAUAGCCUGCACUCCCCGGAAAAGCAUUUUCACGUCUAUUCGGUCCGCAAAAAAAGAAAGGGGCGUAACGAGCAGUCUACUCAUGUACGAAAGGGGGAUAUUCCGACUCAAUGCAAGAAGUUCCUUUCGUCGCCUCCCCCCUUACCAUGUAGCCCCUUCUUACUAUUUCCCCAGGUACCCUUUAUAUUUAUAGAUAGAGGAUAAUAGCCUUGGAUCUUCUCUUAUGCGGUUAAUCCACUCACGAAGAACCUCUGCUUCCGUAUCCGCCGUCUAGUUCAUUAUUGAUGGAUUGUAUCGGCGGUUUGGUUAUAAACUUAAUGAAUUUCGGGAGACGGAGAGAGCUGCCACUUUGGUCGUCUUCUUUCAUUUCAAACUUCAAAUUGAUCGAAUUGUUUCAAGGUUCUGCGCAGGCGGUUGCGCGUUGUAAUCAGGCAUUUCGAUCCCAUAUUUUGUGUUGUGAAGGAUUUAGCCACUUGUGCCUGUUGUUGCUGUUGAUGCACCUGAAUUUGCUGCUGAGGUGGGAAUGACCUCCUAGCUACAGCAGCAUUCUCGUUGGCAUUGGCGUAGUCAUAAGGGACUAAAAAAAAGUAGUUCGUCUUCGAUCCGAUCGCCCAUUCGCGUUUAGGUGUGAUUCAAAGAGGCCGCGGUAACGCGAAUCAACACUUUGAUUCGCGUGGCCUUUGACAGAACUCUUUUAAACCUUGAUAACUUGCUUGUUUUCUUACUUCCUGGGGAUACUCGUUUCUUUGCAAAGCUUAUAGUUUAUUUAGCACCUAUAAGGUGAGAUACGGGAAAUUGACCAUACUGCUUUGUCAUAGGAAAUAAUGACAACAUUGGCGACCAAGGAGUGGCGAAAGCAAUCCAAGAACUCAUAAAUAGGCCUUAUUCCUUGGGCUACUUUUCGUUUUUUUAAUGAAUAGUAUAGCAUGAACAACCAGAAGCCGCAACAAUAGAAUAGUAUCAACGAAAGGCUCUUCCACUUCUAUUUAUUUACUAUAUAAGCUGUUCGACUGAACUCGUUGGCUCCGCGUUCAUGAAAUUCCAAUAUCAACAACAUAAAGCAAAUUCUUCGAUCUUAAUUUCGGGGGUAUGGAAUUCGUUCAUCUCUAGUACUGAGAAUCGAAGGGGAAGGGGAGUCCAUCAAGGUUUUUGGCUCGCAAUAAAGCUAGGGUCCUGAUCGAGCAACUAGUAGUCCUAUCUAUCCACCUCUCCAGACACAAUAUCUUGAGUACCUAUGAUGGUGACCACAUCUGCUGGCAUGUGAUGUUUGGACAUAGAAUCGAGUCCUUGUGAAUGGGCAGAGCCAGGUGCUCUUAUUUUACGACGGUAGGGACGAUUGCUUCCAUUACUGACCAGAAAGACACCAAAUUCUCCUUUAGGUGCUUCAACUGCGGUAUAGGUAGAAGGAGCUGGUACGGAAAAACCUUCUGUAUAAGGUUCGAAAUGGUGAAUUGAGGUAGAGUAGACCGAUGAUCCUGUAGUCAUUUGGCCGGCUAUUGAAAGAAAAAGCUUGCGUCUGCUCCCCCUAUUAUAUAACCGGUCCCAUCUCUCUCCAAACCUAACGUGGUAGUUUCCCAUCAUAAGGCUUUCUAUCUAUAGAUUGAGCCAUUACCAAGGAGCUAAUUUCAUUCGUUCAGAACUCAGUUGACUGCUUCUAUAGAUAAGGCGGAGCGUCCUUGUCCUUGGUUCAGCAUUAUAGCACAUAGGGCUUCGGCGCUACUACAGCGCUUCGCUAACUCGAAGCGCCUCGCUAUGAGAAUAUAGCUUCGCUAACGCGCGGCUAAGUCUUGAACCUUCGUGCCGACCGUUCGCUUUCUCAGUAGCAAAAGCGCUUCUCUUUGCCCCUUAAGUAGAAGGACAAGAAAGAUGUUAUUGGUUUUCUUGCUCCCGCUUCCUCAUCUGCGCUCAUCAAGCCCGCUUUGCUCUUUGGGAGGUGAAACAGCGGUUGAGGCGGACAUUUCGAAAUGACAGCAUCGAAGAUAGAUUUAUAUAUAUACACGGUUACGGUUAUCUCGGACUGCGUUCCAGAAAAAGUAGCCUACUUGAGUUGAGAGGCGGGCACUCCUGUCUUUCAACCCCACUAUACUAUUCAUAGUUGUGGGGCACUGUGUACUUACAGCCUCUACGAUAAGCAAGUGAAUGGGCCCGGUGCGUGGCGAACGGAACGGUUCAUCAAUCACAUUUUCGCCUCAACUCCCUAAAUAGGAAGGGGGGACUUUCAAAAUAGGGCUAAUUGCUUCCCACCUGACUGUGAUAGCCCUCUCGAUACCUUACCUUAUUGGAGCUUUGUAACUAGUGACCGGGUUCCCGCCGCUAGAGCGUUUUCCCAGUGCGCGGAGUCCCAACGAGUAAGGUUUUAGUGGUUUAUCAUUGGGUCCAUAAUGCUAAUCCCUCUUUUUGUGCUACUCCUAGGGCGGGAAGAAGAGAAGAAAACGCGAGGCGUUCUCUUGGUUUCCCAACCUGUUGCUUCUAAAGACUGCCCUCUCUCGGCUGGAUGUUGGUCCAGCCUACUACGAGGAUCCCGUAUCCAGCAACCUAUACAAAGGGCUUUGAUGCCCUUUGUAUAGGUUGGAGCUAUGAAGCUGACCUUCUUUUUCUUAAAAAAGGAAAGGGCUUUUUCAGCUGAUGCGCAGGAGCGCACUUCCCCGUUUUCCCUUUACUAGUAGGGGGUCCCGUGGUUCCUAUGCCGCCGCCCUUCCCGGUCCUUUACUUUUAGUGCUUCGACCCGAAGCGAUAGCUUCUAGCUAGUUCAGUGGAUAAGAUGGCUGCGCUCCAGCUCACUCAAGAAUGGGACGGCAGUGGUCCGCCGGCAAGCUCGUUCUGAUCUUGGACGCAGUACAUUGGAAUCCUGAAGUACCACCACGAACGCUACCGCGCGCCCGCCUGCGGUGCGGUAAGGCACCACCCUGUUGUGCCAGCAGCCAACUCCGGCGUGUCCGCUUAGUUAUCCUCAUCAAGCCACUUACUUGAUGUCUAGCUCCCCAACGGGUAGGCGGUUCCUUUUCCCCCAGAUCAAUGAAUAAGGUAGAAGUCAGUUGAUUCUUCCGAAGAACCGGAAGCGAAGCGCUAUGCCGGGGCGGGGAGACGGGAAAAGAAACGGCUCCGGAGAAAUAAAUUGGGGUUCCCAAUGCUUCUCCACGCUCAACGAGAUGCGCCAACCUCGGGAUGCUUUACUCCUAACCCCACAAGGCUCCGAGACGGAGCUUAACCUGAGUCUCGGUUAAGAACGGCGAUGAUCUGCGUUUCACACGGCGCACGAUUCCAUGGAUAGUUUCAUUCGGCCUCGUGAUGGAGGACAUAGCUUACGAUCAUCGGCUUUGAUCAUGCCACUAGGCAUUUUAUUAGGACAUUGCACAAUGAUCCGAACACUUUGUCGCAUCUCUUCGAUACGAAUACAGUAACGAUCAUAGCGAUCUCCUCUGGUACCUACUGGUACGUCAGGAUCCAAUUGGUCAUGAACAUCGUAAGGUGCUGCUCUUCGCGAAUCCCAGCAUACCCCUGGUUGGGAUGGGUAGGCCCACCACUUAACUUUCACUUAGGCCCGGGCCAAGUAAGUGGGGGGACCCUGCCGGCCCCCCCCAAAAAAACUGUACGUGAGAGUUUCCCUUCAUACGGCUCGAAUCAUUCUCAGAUGCCCAGAGAGGCGUCCUUUCCUUGUUUGUUGGGUUGGUUCACGCGCGCGCAAACGAGCACCGGCCGCAACAGCAGGAAACUAUGACCAAUAGAGUAAGACACUUAGCUACACCCGCACGCAAAAGGAAUGUGGUUCUGGUUGAGGCUUUCUUUCCCUUAUUAGUAUUAGUAAAGGGCGCGGGACGUUCGCGGAGUCCGUGCCUAUCAUAUAAAAAACAAAGGGUCGUAGAAAGAGAACCCGGCCUCCUAUUUCAUUCGACGUUCCGGGGCAGGGGCCCGCCCGAUUCGACCUACUUUUGGAUAACAAGAAGGCGAGCUUCUCCGCUUUGAUCACAUAAAAGGCCCAGUCAGCCACCAACUCGGUGCAGGUCACGUGACCUGCAGUUCGGCCUUCGCUUUUUGAGGCUUCCUCUACCCACAUCUCUAUGUGUCCGCAGCACUUCCAUAUGGAGAAAGAUAGGCUUACCAUGUUCCAUCAAUAGCACCUAACCUAUGCCGAUUUUGGCGGACCGUGCUCCACCCCGGUGAACUCAUGCGGUUCCGACGUGCCCAGAGGCCAGAGGCGGGUCCGUUCACGGUCCGUAGGACCAACACCAUUCGAAGGUGGGUGGCCCGCCCCGCCUAGAACAGUCAUGUUUGACUGGGCUUACACACAUUCGCUCACUUACGCUGUCCCCCCUCAGCUCACCCUAGCCCCGCCAGGCCUUUUGCUUUUCUAACGUAAGCUCCAAGGCUUCACACCAAGUCUUCACUGACAUAAUAUGCAUGCUUUAGUAGGGUCAGGCAGAACCGUUGUUGCCUGAUGGGAACUUCCCCCAUAUUGCUAUCAAUGUCUUCAUGUCGCACGACCUCUUAACAUUACACCACUGAAUCCCCAAUCCUUUGCUUGCUGUGCAGUGACAGUACCAAUAUCCACUAAUCGUUGUUUCCAGAUACGGUUGCCGGUUGACAUCUCUUCUAAUUCGUCGAUACGAGAAGAAAAUUGUUGUGUGGAGGAAUCAAUAUCUCGACAUAAGCCAAGAGGCAGAUCUUGUGCCACUCCACCUGGUCGUAUGAAACUGGCAUGCAUCCUGGCUCCCGAGACUCUUUCAUAGAAUUCCAACAAUUUCUCCCGCUCCUCAAAAGCCCACAGGAACGGAGUUGAUGCUCCCACAUCCAUAGCAUGAGUAGUUAAAGCAAGUGAAUGAUUUGAAAUUCGAGUUAUUUCACGGAAUAACACUCGUAUAUAUUGAGCUCGUAAUGGUACCUCGCAAUUCAAAAGUCUCUCUACGGCUGAAGAAUGAGCGUGUUCUUGGGCCAUCGUAGAAACAUAGAUAGGGUCAACGACGGAACGAACAACGAAACUUUACGACAGCUUUUUCGUACACGUUCACUUGCAUCACAUACACAAGUGCUCUCUGAACCGUGCAAUAAGGUCACCCAUAACACGGCUCUCCCACUUGAGUUAUCUUAGCCCCGGGCCAUGCUAUUAAAUAAUUUUUUAAAAAUGUCGGCGUAAGGUAACAAACUAGUAUUGAAAGCAGGUCGCCUUUGGAAUAUGAGUAGGGCUCCUAGGUGGCGCGUUCGUGGAGGCAAACCGAAGGAAGAGCAAAAGGAAGGUUGGGUGCUUGCGGGGCGAGGCCGCCCGGCCUCGAAUAGGCGGGGGCUUCGCUCUGGAGCCUCCCUGCUUGCGGAAAUGAAUGGAUCAGAAGGGGGCUGGGUUCUCGAUUUCCGGGCCGGGCGGGAGGUGAGGCCAUAAGAGAAGAUUGCCCUCCCGGUAAGGAAGAGGAGAAAAGGUGCUGUCAUCUAUCUCGACCAGUUUCCUGAGGCGUUGGAAAUCCAGACCGGUUCAGAGAAUCACUGGCGCUAUUUAGCCCUUCGUUUCGCCAACAAAGAAGUCAUCCUUGACGAUUUCCCAUUCCUUCCCCGCCUCUCUUCGCCAUUCGAUGCCUCUGCCUUCCCUUUCUAUAACAUACCCGGGCGCUCUCCUUUUCAAUCACUAAGAAAAAAAAAAGACCAAUAAAAGCCCUAUCUAAGUAAAGCCUCGUCUGUUCUUUUUCCGGCUCCAGGGGACUUUACUUGACCCAUUCUCCAGUCUCCCGCACUGCUCAAGUAAGUGUGCGACUCCGUAUGAGGACCUCCUUCCCUUCUGCCUACUCUCCGUUCACACGGUUCUCAAAGCAGAGGAGGAAGGUUGGGCAGGAGGUACCACGAGCCCUCUGUCCCACACAUCUAUCCAGAAGCAAGUGUAGUUCACCGGUUCCACCGAAUGCUCCUAUCUCUCGGCAAAGAUCGUGUGAGUGUGCAGUUAUGCUUCGGAUGCUUCGCCAUAGAAUAGAUCGCCCCAGUUCCCUUUUCUUUUCCGGUGCACUCGCUUUAUAUCUCCGAUACACAAGGAAGGACGCGGUGGGAAGGAAGCAGCCCUAGCCUCUGUCCGGCCGAUCAUUCCGCUGGCAUCUCGCAUUCACGCCCCCCCUUUGACUGCCGCUCGGGGAUGUAGUUGUAGAUACGUUAGUCUUAGUGGGUCGUUGGCUCCACUUGUUAUCUCCUUCUACGACAUGCUGUUGUCGUCGCCAUAUUCCAUAUGUCACUUAGUCAUCUCUGCCUCGCUGCGGGUCAGCACCUCCGAAAGAAACGGAGGACUUCAUUCAGUGACCCCGCGAUCGCCCUCUAAACGAUCAGAAUAAGGUAAAGCUUGAAGAUAAGUUUUGUACUCUAUUAAUUUCUCAGUCCCUCUAGUCGGGUGGGCGCCGGCCGGUCUUUCGACCAGAUCCCCCUAAAAACCGUACGUGCGGGUCUCCCCGCAUGCGGCUCACGCCAUUCGAGGUGGCCCAGUCCAGCCAUUCAUUCGCAAAUCCUGUAGUGAAAUUGAGACAGCUCGAUCUCGGAAGCUAAUUCGCGUGUAGGCAGCGCUGUCUGUCGUACCGUUGACUCUAUUCAUAUAAUUUGCUUUCUUACAUUUGUUAUUUUAUAGAGGCUCGCCCCCUAUUUUUCCAAGAAUUCGUGCACUUCCCUUUACUCCAUAGGGCCUUCUCUAAUAGGGAAAAGCCCUCCAUUUCCGUCAAAUGACCCGGCCUCCCCUGGCGCUUCCACCAUCCGGGCCCCCUUUCCUCCCUAUGCUCCCCCGGCGCGGGCCUACCACGCUUCGCGCCUGCGGCGUUUUCGCCAGACGGCCUUUGCCAGUAGUGCCAUCCUCCCCGCUGGCUGUAUAGGCGGGUUGUCCCUCGCUGCUGCGUUCUGUUAGGCUAUGGAUUACAGGAACAAAUGUAAUUGAAUGGAACAGCAGGCGGGUUACACGUUCCACUGUGCCGAGAUGUGAGGUGCAGGUGGUGAUGAUCACCCCGGGGUAUGCGCUAGCGCCCUUGACAGGCACUCCAGAACCCGCCAACGCUCGUGAAAACCCGGGUCGGCCGGCCCUCCAUUCGUCCGACCGGAGGUGUGGAUAACGAGGCCACCUUCACAACCCUCUCCCUUCUGUCCCUAUGUUGUAGUAAGGUAGGGUGGUUCGCUUGAGUUGCUCAACCGCCCCUUAGCCCGGUGCUCAUGACGCGCUACGGAACCUCCACCGUGCGGGGGGACCAAGCAGGGCAUAGCUAGCGGCAUAGGAGCCGACUCGGCAUCAGCGGCUUCGUGCCGCACUGGAGUGAUCCAAUAUGUGGUUCCGCGCGUUCCACCACUUCUCCGUUCAUUUCCAAUACUAAUCGUGAAACACCAUGAGCAGCAGGAUGUUGAGGUCCGAAGUUCGAAGUGAAAUUUUUGAUUUGCUCGUUCCUGGUCGUCAUGGGAAAGAAAGGCAGAAAUAAUAAAGAGAUUAUUCCCUUAGGGCUUGUCCAAUACCACCAGUACCAGAAACGCAUCUCCUUCGCCCGCGCAAGAUACUUCUAUGCCAGCCGGGAAAAAAGGCUCUGUUAUGAAACAAAGCGGCAGACAGGCUCAUUUUACCGGUAUUCCCUAAUUAGUGGCCUUAGGAGAUUAGGGUCCCCCUCAGAUUCUCCGCUCAUCUGCGGGGGGUUUCCGUAUCCGUCUCCGCGGGGAUCUCAAGAUCGUAAGACAUUAUCGCCUUCGCGGCACUUGAGUCUAUUUCUGUCAUUUCCGGAAAGUGCACGGGCAGCCGCCCUUUCCCUUUUUCACAAUGUUCGUGAAGUUGCUCACGAAUCAAAGUUUGAAUGUCCCUUCGAAGAAGUGCCGCACGCUCUUUUUUUUUAUCGGUAGCGGGGUGGGCUACUUCCGUCGGUGCUGGCCCCCCGUUCUGGAGCCGGCGGGUUCUGAAUGACCUCCCUCUCACGGUUUAAAAACUGGUUAACCGUCUCGAAUAAAUCCAUAUCGUCCCUCCGAAAAAGGUGUAUCAAUUACAGCCAACUCCCCUGUCUCUUUCCCUAUCGAAAAACAAACCCUACUCCUUUUUUUAUAGAAAUGCUAACCAAGUGACACACCGGGCCAUGGGUCAUGAAAGAGGUUGCCUCCCAUCCUCCUUAACUAUGUACGGCCAAUGAACUCCUCGCUUUAGUCCGUUCGUUCUUUCUUUGGGCUCGGGUCGAUAGUAGCCGUGGUAGUAAUGUCCCGGAGCCCGGCUACCGACCCGAGGCGCCGAGUCAUAAAGGGGCGUUAAACGUAAUUAUAGAAGGGCGUUACCACAAAAAACCGAGGCUUGGCAGUUCAAGCGAAAGUUUCUUAGACUAGUCCCACUAAGAUGGCGGGGAAACUUACUUCCGAGAGAGCUGCUUUCGCCUCGGGAAUUACCUAACGAGAGGGCCGAUGCAAAAGUAUAGCCCUUGACGCGAGGGAACGUCAGACAGACUUACCUCUGCUAACUACGUUUUUUAUAUAGACUGGAAGCUAGAGAGAUACUAAGGUAUAGUGCCGCUACCAGAGAAGGCUGUUUCAUGCUAGGCGCCCACACCCACUACGCCCGAGCCGCGUCCCCGGCACACUUGCUAUAUCUGUAUCCACUAACGCUUCAUCCCACUUCAUCCUACCAACUAUACCUGAUAGAAAGCCGUUCUAUAACAAGUCAAGACAACAAGAAAGCAAGAAAAGGAUAGCGAUUGGUUUGGGAGCGUCACGGGGGAAGAAGAUAGAAAGGUAACCUAUGACACCGGGGAGUUACGCUUUUUCUCCCGCCUCAGCCUCGCGGAUGGGAGGAGGGCGAGAGCUGAGCCCGCACGCUCUAUGCUUUUCCCCAGCUUUUCCUCCAGUAAAAGAUUCGCUCGUAUCCCCUGUGUCUAGGGAUUCCUGGGGCAUGACUUAAGAAUAUAGUAGAUUGUGCUCUUUCUUUCGAUUGAGCGUCGGUACUUUUUGAGUCUCUCUCUGUAGGCAUGCAAAACAACAGAGCCACUGCUCUUCGGGGCGGUGAGGUGGACAAUCCCUUAUUCCAGCUUUAGAGGAGCAUCUUUGCAUGAAACAAUACUAACUCCUCAGUCAGCUGACCUUCGAUUUCGGAGAUUAGAGCAGAAGAACUCCGUAACGGCGGAGAAGGGUUUGGCCUCGAAUCAAAAUGAUUUAUCUUCUUCUCUUAAGAGAUUUAUAGUUAGGACUUGAUCGAGGGAUCAAUUGACUCCGGAACAUAAAGUAACAAAUAAGACCAGAACCCCGUGUGGACUAUGAACCAACAAAAAGAAGAAUGCCUUUGAGCUCUUGUUCGAGUUCUUCCUUGAUGACUGGAAGGGGAGACAGAAGUAGCAAAUUCCUCUUCUCCCUGGAGGCUUUCUGGCAUUUCCGGAAUGGGAAGCUCUCUGAUCUUUCCUUCGAGUUUUUAUUUUAUAGAAAAUCGUCUAUGAGAAGGACUUAAGGUAUUGUACGUCUUGUUCCAAACAAGAUCAUGCAAAGUAAAACUGCAAACUUCAUUCGAAAAACUCCAGUGCAACUGAUGCAGCCAACAAAGAGAAGUCCAACCAGCAGCCGUCAGCUCCUAACUCGAAUGCCUCUAGGCAAAAAUCUGCACAAGGUCACAAAGAGGAAAAGCUCCCCCACGUCAAGUCUACAGGCCAACGGGCAACAACACCGUCCAAUCAUCCUUUUGAUAAUACAUAUUCUCUUCCAAACAAUACUGCGGACAAUCAGACGGAGCGGAAUCUUUUUUCUUUUAAGAAAUUUAAGAAACUUCUCAGCACAUACAGAUUUCUGCCGAUCCUUCAAGCAGUACUGCUUCUCAUGAUUCUGAGUUGAGGGUUGAUUCUUCUCAUCAGGUAAUAGUAGAUGCCAUUGACUCAUCUCUGGCUGCUAACAAUUCCAAUGUUGAUAAUUAGAGUAUUCAGGCUAUUAUGCCUAUUAUCUCUCAGCCUGAUCAUGAACUCAUAAACAACAUGGAGUCUAAUAUAUCCCUUGUUUGCCUGAAAUCCAAAGAUGAUGCUAACGUUCCAAAGGAACAAGCCGCUCAGACCAAGGGAUACUUCUCGGACGCUGAACCUAUGAGAGAAGCAAACCCCCUUUUUUUCAGUAAUUUUUUACCAUUUGUAAGGAAUUCUCUCAAGUGUUAUCUACAGCUUCGAUAUUAAAGAACGCUGACUGUACCCAGAAAUCGAAUCUGAAUCCUACAAGGAGAAACCAGAUACAUCUGAAAUCAAAAAGUACAAGAAUCGAACUUGAAGAGCUCCAGAAGGAUUAUUACUAGAGCGUUGGCUCGUUCUUUUCAAACUUCUUCCAUUCUUUUGUUAGCCAUGAUUAAUAACCUCUUGUGGAAUAUCAGAGGCAUAGGCAACAUCAAAUCAAGAAGGAGGGUUGGCAAGCUUGUAAAGAUGUAUAAUAUCUCGUUGAUUGCUAUUCUUGAACCUCUUCACCAUGCUAAUAAGAUUCAGGAAUUCUCCAACAGAAUUCGUUUUAACUUUUCAUUGGCAAACCAAGAGGCAGAUGAUAAAAUAUGGCUCUGUUGGAAUCAUGAAGUUCAUGUAGUGCUUGUCGACGCGUUUGAACAGUGUAUCACAGUCGACAUCGGCUUCCUUAAUUCUGAUCGGGUAAGGCUUACCGUUCUUUAUGCAAAGUGCUCCAUUCAACGGCUUCUUUGGGAAAAACUUCCAUUACUGUCUUAAGACAUACAAGGUCCAUGGAUGGUUGCGGGUGAUUUUAACGCAAUUUCAGAUGUGUCUGAAAAACUUGGUUGCAGACCUCAAAAUCUUUUAUCUUUUUUAAAAAGAAAUGCGAUGAUUAAUGAUUGUGGCAUCAUUCACUGCGGUUAUGAGGGCAGCAAGUAUACCUAUACCCGGUCGAAUACCCAAGAGUGGGGGCUGUGUCAAAGCCAAAAUUUACUGAGUUGGUUCCAUUUGCAUUUCUCUCUGGAUCAUCUAACGCAUCUCCUCCUUCUGCUGUUCAAGUCCAUUUGAGCGAAACUUGUCGCCAGCUCGAUCAAACCAAGGUGGAGCGAUAUCCAAGAAAGCAUUUAGUGUUUUGGUCAUAGAGGGAGAAUCCAAAGGCCAGGGCAAUAACGAUGUAUUUACUAAAUUGAGAUAUAGUGACUUGCCCCAUGAGCUAAAGUCUAGCUAGGGCCCUAAACAUGCUAAUAGUAUCAGGUCCCCCCUGGGCCCGACGUUGCAUUAGCGCAGAAGGGGAUGGCCCCAACAAUGGAUCUUAUUCCAUUUCUAAAGCCGGACCUUGUCUCCUGGGAAAGGGGCAUACAUGUUUAUCUCGAAAGUGCAUGAAAGCUUGAACAACUCGUUAAGGAGCGGAGAUAGAGUAAAAGAUUUCUUUCUCGGGGAACUCGCUUGCCUACCCUACCUUCUAGGCGUUACACCUUUUCUCAUUCAACAAAAAAAAAGAGGCAAAGCCGUGGCCAUAAACUAGUGGAAGAGGGCUCAUUUCACUGCUUCACCACAUCCCUGAAAACUCUUUUACCCCUAUUACUCACAGAAAAAGUAAAAACCCAAACUAAACGGUGUGCCCGGAUGGUUCCGCUCGGUGCUUGGCAAUGGGGUUCGCUCUCGGGGCAUUAUGAGAUUAGCUGGUUCUUCCGAAUCAUCUGGUUUUUCCGAACGAAUCUUAGUCAUCCGACUCAUCCUCAGGGAAAUCUUUUUUAGCAGAUUGCUCAACCCAAUCCUAUGGACUUAGCCUUGGGAGACGAAGGCCGGUGCGAUCGGACGGGACAUUUACUUUCUCUCUCGAGUUAACCCAACGAAGAGUUUGUGCUAUUUUUAACCUAACUCGGUUUAGAAGGCCCGCCUACCCCACUCUAAAGUCGCCGGGCUCCGCUUAUUCAACGGCUCAUGGUUUAUAGAAAAAGUGGCUGACUCCUUUUGUUAUCCCAGUGGGUAUAUGGUUGAAGCCAGAUAUCGGUAGGACCUAGACGAGGGAUGAAGGGGAUUGGAUCAUCCAUACACUUCAAAUAACAAAAUGGAAGCGGUUCGGGAAGUUACCACCGUCUUACCGCGAAGCACGGGGUUCACCAAGGUUUGGAAAGCUAGUGCUCGUGAAUGCGCUCCUCAUUUAGCCCCGUGACUCGUAAAAGAAGCCUUCGGCUGAGGAGCUGGGCUUGGAAAAAUCCCGAGAGCCUCUGCCUGAACGCUCCGUUCUCGGUCAAGCCGCGUGAAGGGCCUCUGAUAAUGACGUAAAUAGAGCUCGUUCCGCUACUCGCGCUAAUCCAUGAUCUAAUGUUCUCGCUUGGGAUGGGAAACGAGGUAAUUUGGAUAGCAAGGAGGGGCGAUCUCCUAUCCUGUCUGGUCGUUGUGGCAAGCGAAUCUAUUGAGAGAUAUAUUGAGCCGGUAAGGGGGAUUGACUUGCCGAAAGUGAUAUGAUGUCACGAAAAACGGCUGAUAAGAGUAGAGCAUCUUUCAGAACCUACGGCAAGUGUAGCUAAUGCAGGCUAAGGUGCAAAAAGAAAAUAUCGUAAGAAAGAAAUUAAUUCUCAAGCUCUUCUCCUCGGUCGAUUAGGUUUAUGAUAUAUUGUUCUCUGUCUCUUCUAGAAUCAUUUGUAUCCCGCUCCCGGGUUGUUUAGCACGCAAUCCGUCUUUGUCAAAACAGCUGUUCGGUUACGCAAUCUUGGGCUUUGCACUUACUGAAGCUAUUGCCUUGUUUGCGUUAAUGAUGGCUUUUCUGAUUCUAUUCGUAUAACUUGUCCAUCGGAGUAGAGGAAUGGUUAACUCAUCAGACUCAUGAUCUGAGGAUUGUAGGUUCAAAUCCUGCCUCCGAGAAGUAAGCUUGUUGAAAGGCAAGCCCGUUCUUGCUUUUAUUCGCUGCGUCUGGCAAGGGAUUACACGAAAGAAGAGAGUGCGGUCACGUAGCUAGCCCCAAUCGAAAGCUUAGGUCGGAAGACUUUAGUGAGUAAAUCGGAGACGGAUUGAAUCGCCUGGCAAAACUAGACCUAUAGCUCCUAGUAUUUCUCAGAAUCACUAGCCGGAUGCAGCAACAGAAAGCACAUUCCGGCAGGAAAAAAAAAGAGUGUUGCGAAAGUUACGCUAGAAGCUAGAAGAUAGGUUUCAACUUGUUUUGGUUGAAAGGAAUAGCCCCUCAUCGACACGGGAAGAGAGCUUCAAGCAAGUGGAAAAAUCAUGCCUUACGAGUAUGCAAGUAAUCCCGUCAUCUCGUGCAAAUGAGGGGAAAUAGAUAGAGAAGGAGGCUGUUCUCAAGACAAAGAAGAAGAUCUUAGAAAGGUGCAUGUCUUCUCGAAAGCACUCCCGGGCAUGGUAGCCAAGACUCUCCACGGCUGCUCUUUCAGGCUAGCUCUGGGCAGGGCGCAUAUACACGAACCCACUUUUAGUCGGAUCCGAGCUCCAGUAGACAGCGAGACAGCCAUUUUAGUAUACAGGAGCCAAGCAAGGCAAAGAUAGGUGAGUGACACCAAGGUAAUUCCAGCACGAAAGCAAGUGUUGUUAUCACACGCCCGGUACUGUCUUAUUGAUUCACCUUCUAUUAUUCAAUCAAGGAAGCAGAAUCAACGGCCUUUGAAGAAAGAUGACUAAGAUAUUGAGUUGGAAGUUGGACAAAAGCCCAAAGCCCAAGGAAGAGAAAGGGGGCAGGGACACGAAGCGUCCAACGACUUGAACUUGAGGAUCACAAAGAACUAUAUGGCUUAUCCGGUGGAUGCGCGUCUUGGGCUCUUUUACCUCUAACUAAAAAUCUCAUAAGAAAAGAAAGUGCCUUUUCCUAGGGUAGAUUCAAGGAAUGCUGAAAGGCUCUCCGAGUUCACAGGCGUAGUUGCGUGUACUUCAUUUCAUUGAAAUUUCUUUUGUUCCGUUCUAGGCUGGCUCGCUUAGUCUUCAAUACAUCACAUCGUCAAUGUCAAUGGCUGCUAACGCCGCGACGAGGUCUCCAGGGUUGUUUUCCAACUCGACCGGAGGACUCUGAAAAGGAUUCAUAGAUGGCUAAAGAGUAACAAUAUGUGCGGUGUACUUUUAGGAAGAGAGUUCAUCUUGCGUAAAGGCGCCUGAUGGUGGCUGCCUAGAGACAACUAAUUGCACAAUUGAAAGAAAGACUUGCUUGUAGGAAAAUGAACGGUUUUAAACCAAGUAAAGAACCCCACAACAAAUAGAUGGGGGCAGGAGAUCUUUCUCAUUCAGCGCAGUGCAGCUUAUAUAGAAGGGGCAAAGCGCUGUUCGUGGCACAGCUUUCUUACGAGAUUUUCAUUGAUCGUAGCUAAUUAGGCGGCAACAACCGAAGAAGCAGAAGAAGUAGCUGCUACCUUCUUAUUUUUCUUCGGCUGGUUCAACUUACUCAACAUAAUAAACUACCAUUGCAGCUUCUCCAGCUACCUCUGCCUCUGCUGUAGGAUCCGCCGGUGGAUCUUCCGCUCUGGGUACCUAUGCUUCUAUCCCAACCGAAGCCUUUGCUCCCGAGAGACCCAUGCCCCCGUUCCUUCCCCUGACGCUGCUCCUAACCAACCGCGAGUAAUGAUGCAAAGCUGGGCUGGGUCUGGGCAUGCCUACUCUCGAAUCUAAUCUAAGGAAGGGAUGCUUGCUACUGGAUAUGAUCCGGAGAAAGUUCUCUGGUUAUGGAGAAGCAUCCACACUAAGCGUGAGGCACCUUUACUCAAACUCAAGGAUAGGAUGGAAAAACUUGAUAUAGGGGAGCGAAUGGGCAAACAAAAGAAAGAUAGGUUCGAUCAAUAGCAAGCGACAUGAUAGAUUUGAUCUCACAUUACGGUCUAAGGUACGUAGUGACUCGAGCGAAGCGAAAGGUCAACAUUAUUCAAUCUUUCUAGUAGUGCAUUACUUCGCAGUCAAUCUGAACUUCUUUAGGUCGAGGGUCAACUAUCGAAUGUUAAUGCUAUUAGGGCAUACAGCUUUGUCAAAACAAAAGGGUAGCGGAAACGUUCUAUUCUCUAUUGGAAGAUAGGGAAAGAAAAAAGCAGAUAAAAAGAAGCCUGGGUAGACUGAAGAAUCUUUCAGGAACUCGGCAUGAUCCUUUGGAAUUUAUCCCGUCCGGAUUGACUUAGGAGGUUUAUUCAGAACUACGAAUGGGAUUCGUUCAAGGCAGCCGCAUUUGAGGGACUUUGAGGGCAUUCUUCCACUAAUAGCAAUGAGUGAAAUACGCUUAUAUGGAAUCGGCAGGUAUGUGUCACGCACGAUAGUUCGAUUGGGGGAAGGUACCUGAGGUUAGCCAAAUCACUAUCUUCUUUUCUUGAAUGAAUAGAUCAGGGUAUUUGACUAAGUAAGGAAGUAGCACCGGCGGCAGUUAACUAAUAGGGCUUUUCCCUCUUUAUAGGGCUUACCUCUUUGUUCCUUUGAGAGUCAUCAGAGAAUGGGAGGUACUAAUACCGGAACUCGUGUCUUAUGCUUCUUGUUUUCCUAUACUAAGGUGUCCUCUCUUACCUGGCUUAUUAGCUCCCAAGACUUCACUGCAGGUCUAGCUCAUUUUUAUGUAAAUGAGCAUUGAUCCCCUACUGUGACAUAUGAUGGGGUACCUAGACUUGGUGGUGAGCUACCUUCUUUCAUACUGUCAGUGAGGGUAAACAUACUGGAUUAAGAGAUCCAAGGAAAUAGAGCGACUUUCCAUAACAACAAUACCGCACUAUCGUAUUAUAUACGCCAUUUGGCGACAAAGCCUUUGCUCUAAUGCCUCGUUACGUAUAUCGCUAGCGAUAGGUUUUACAUCUCGCUUAGCCUCAUCUCUUGAGCCUAGUGGGAGCUGCACAAGUAACCGCCGUUCUCUUAUCCGCUUGAAUAGAGAGAAUAUCCCAGCUAGAAUAGAAAGAUAUAUAGGAUAGACUAGGGAAUGAUUGGCCUUAGCGAUUCUUAGCUAUGAACAACUCCUUCUUCCUCCCCUAGACCUAUUGAAGUUGCCUACCCUUUAUGCUUUAUGAUAAGGCUCACUCGCUACCCUAAGCCCUAAAGUUCCUUCGCUUACCGCCAAAUCUUAAUCUAUUGCCCUGCCUCCAAGAGAAUCAAUGGCACCAACCGAUUCAAUGGCAGCUAGUUCCGGGGAAGCCGCUUCAAUGGAAGUUGGAUUGCCCUCCUUUGAGUGUGAGUGAAAUUGGAUGAAUCUGUCAAGUAAAGGUCAACGUACGUAGCAGCAAGCAUGGUGCAUUGCCUAUUUCUCGCUCGGAAGCCAAAACAAAACGAACACGCCUGCUACCUACUGUACUGGACCCCCGACCAGGCAUUAUACCUUUGUCGAAUCGGAACCAAUACCACCGCGCUCGAACAGUUGAGCGGCCGCCGGCCAGCAACUUCCGUGCACAGAUAUAGAUUCAUUCUUCAUACCUGGUCCAGCCUCACAACCCUUCGCGGGUUGGUAAGAAGUCAGUCUUGUUUGGUAAGACGGAAUUGGGCAAAGAAAAAAGAGUGCUCGACCGGAACAACGGCCAACAAAGACCGUAAUUACAUAGAUAACUGCUCCUCACCUUCUCCGUCUUUAAGGCGAACCGUAUGGCGGCUGGAAAGAAAGACGACCUCACCUUCUCGUAGAUGGUGUCAGUGAGAGCCAUUUGCUUUUAGUAUCCCCCGUUGACCUUCUUUUGUAGAUAGAAUCUUCAAUGAGUGGAAACAAGCAACCUUACUAAUAAAGGUGUUGAGUAAGGCCGGCUUUCUUCGCAUGCUUGAGCGCAUCUUUCUCAUAUCGAUCAAGGCUUUCCUUGAGUUUUCAAUAAGGUUAGCGCUAGCUAGCCCGUUUUUUGCAGGAGUGCUAACGCGCACCCUUACGUUUUCUUCGCUUGCUCUGCAGUACGAGCCUCAUACAGAGCCGCGCCCCUUUCAUAUGAUGAGAAGAAGAGGGGCUGAAGGCGGCUUUGCUAUCUAAGCGAAGGGGCCGCCCUCUUUUCCGCACCAAUCCUUAUUUACUACUACAUCUUUUUGGGGGUGUAUAGCUCAGUUGGUAGAGCAUUGGGCUUUUAACCUAAUGGUCGCAGGUUCAAGUCCUGCUAUACCCAAACCUACCUUACUAUACUAUGAGUAAGGAUGCGUAGUAGCGUUCAAAGAUCACUCUUUGGCCUUUUUUCCUUUAGACGCGCUUCGGCGGCGGAUAGCAGCAUGGGCAAAGCACUCUGCUGCGGCGAGAGCAGCCGGCUCUUAUUGCAUUCAUCAAGAUAGUCUUUCUCGCUCCUGAACUCUGCGGCGAGUUCAGCCACCACCCCCGGGCCUGAGCUCUGCUCGAGCGUAGUCAGCCAGCUUCGUGACUUUGCUUAGCUUCCAGCGUUGCAAAGGGAUAACCUUUCAAUAUCUAGGCGCCCUAGAAGGAGAGGGGUCCCGCGGACUUCUUCCCCGAAGGUCAAGCCGUAGUCCCUGUCCCUGGGAGAAGUGGAAGGAGUUAGGAGGAGGGAGCGCCCUUUGCCCUAAUAAUAAUAAAUAAUAAUAAAUAGGCGGCUUCGCCCUCAAGUCGUCAAUAAAAUAGAGAAAAUAUGUGAUCAUGACAGUACACUGAUGCAUAGGUCUUGUCUUCUUUACGGCCUUUUGAUCAUGAUGCAUCAUGAACGCGCCAAUAUGUGAUCGGGGUGAGCGGUGGUUAGAUAUAGGGGCGGCUUUGCCGGCUUGGAUUGGAAGGAAGGGCUUCGCUUUCCGAUCGCUUUUUGAGGUCGGUUUGGAUGAGCGUGGGCAAGUUCGGGAUUCGCUAUCGCUUUCGGCUUGGAGCGGCCCACCCCCCUUGUCACUUAAAGGGAAAGCAAGAGAAGGGGCCUGCUGGAAACCCGAGCCUUCGGCUCCAUACUGAUUAGGCCGGCCAUAAAGGGACAUCACGACUAUCCUUUCUGGUAAUACCGGGCUUUCUAUGAUCCUGAUCAGUCAAUUGAAAGAUUCCGGAUCCUUAUGUGCUUUUUUUGUUAUACUAGUGGCGGCAGAUCUAUUAGUAAACAGGAGCCGCUAUCGCUCACCCGGCUGGAUUGGAUGUAAAUCUGACGGAUGGAUAGGCGUAGCAGAAAAGAUAGGGUCAAUUACGAGAGGAAGGCGGAGGAAAAAAGACGAGAGAGCAACUCCCAGUCGAUAUGGAGGCUCGGCAGCUACCACGGCCGUAAGAACGACUCGAAAGACGGGCCCCCGCCCCGAUAGUAGCGAUAAAAUAUUUCGGAAUAAAAAUCGUAGCGUGGUAGCAUACAAUGGUUUCUUUUCUAUGCCGUUCCAUUCAUACGAACCCAAGCCGAUCCUAUUUAGGCGUAGGGCCCAACUCCGUUCCUUUCACAGGUGACUCCGACUCCUAGGGUGAGGUUUGUUUUUAUCCCAAGCUCUUUCUUUUUUUUUACCUAAACUCCGUUUUAGUUGGCCUCCUUCGACCCAACUCCGAACCCCUUGCCUGGCCCCGGAAAGACCUGAGCCUUCCGGUUUAUUGCUAUAUAAAAGCUUUCCAACCAAGCCGAGAUGUUCGCCUCGAUGCGGUAGAUAAGUGGAUAGGUUCGCGAUAGGAGGACUGUCCCUUCACUUGCAUGGGAUAGCGAAGCCGCUCCAAUCCACUAGAAAAAACCACAUUAUUCUACUAAAAAAAUAUUGUAGCAUUUAUUGAGCGAAGCCGCUCUGCAAUAGUGAAGGAGCGGCUUGUCUGUCUCAUGGCAGGCAAUUUCCUUUUUGCUGUCUACUUUAUAAGAUAAGCUACUUUUUGCAUGCGCUCUACUGUAUCUGCCGCAGGUCUUAUCAGCUUAUAUACUAAGCGAAGCCGCCUUCGGCCCUUAGCUCUCAUCAAAGCCGCCCUCGCCCCUCUCUCCUCUCUCUAAAGGGGCUUACGAACGAGCGGAGUGCUUACGCCGAUUGACAGAAAUGCCGGCCGGAAUUAGAUAACGGUCCAUCCCACCAUAAUAGAUCUCUCCUACCGCUACCUACUAGUGGAUUUAUUUAGGGAAGGAAUGCCGAUUAAGCAAUUCCUCCCAUCCCGAUAAAGCGAGUCACCCGUGAUUCGAGAGUUCCAUUUUCCGCUGAUGCAGGCCGAUUGGGAUCCCAGCAGUCAAACCACUGUGUUCGUUCCUCACCCUCCUUCCAAUCCAAAAUCGAUUAGAAGGUGGGUGAUAAGCAGCUGUAUCCGUAUCAAGCCUACCAUCUCUUCUCACGAAAGUCUUUCCAUCCCGUCUCCGAAAGUUUUGCAAUAUCUGUGGCCCUGCUUUAAAGCCCCAGAAAGGCGUCUUACUCUCUCUCUCUAUAAAAAAACCUGUGUGAAGCAUAGUGCUAAGAUCGAUCGGCGAGGGAUUCCCAUAAAGUAGUUAGUUUAAGGGAAGCUGCGCUCGACGAACCGCCGGUACAAACGAAUACCGUUUUUAUUUUGAAGAAGAGACGGGAGGGUGCAAUGAAUGCGCUGUAGCUAGCCUUGUCAGCGAGUUUCAUCUAUCUCCUGUAGAAAGAAUAGUCUGGAAUAGGGGCUGAAGGUCCAGUUAGAUCAAUUUAUAUAUCAAUGACUUUAUAUCAGCUUUCUGUCGACAAAUUACGUGAUUGGUUGAUAAUUGCUCGGGAAUUCAUUGAUAAUGACUUUGCCAGGUUCUAGGGGGGCUACUCUUCUUUUUUGUCGAUCGAGCCGCUCUCCCUCAUUCCACUCGUCCAGCCCUCUUCACGAACUUGUACAAUCGAUGCCACAGAGAUAGCCAACUCUAUUAUCAAAGAAAUAAGGAAACGGGCGACGAUUUGGCACCAGAUAUCCGGAGGUGUGGAAAGAGCAGCUGUGAGAAGCGGAAAAACCAUCAAAAAACGACGAUUGUUCGUGGAGGUUUCCACAGAAAGACCCCUUGGUUCUGGCAAACGGAUCACAAUUACAGGUACCUGAGAGCAUACCGAUGGAAUGAACGAAAUACGAACAGUUAACAUAAUAUGGUCAUAGAUCUUGGGUUGUAACUUGAUCAUGAGCGAAUUUGUUGAUGUUGCACCCAUGAAGUAUGGAAAGUGCCAAACAUUGGGAACUACCCGGGGAAGAGUUAGAAACAGGAACAAGGAGAAGCGAGAACCACUUAAAUGGAGGAAUCGAUUGUAUUUCGUCCUUUGUUCCCCAUAGCAACUGGGGAUCAAAAAGCACCAAAUUUGAUGACUUAUUAAGGGAAAGACGAAGUAAGAGCAUGCUAUUGGAGACGUUGCAACAUAUGUCGGGGAGGCCUCCGUUGAUUGUGUACGAACAAAAUACGAGUCCAAAGGCAGGGUAAGAAAGGGUUUAGCUAAUGGAGAUAUUAACUCUUCCGGGAACCAGUAACGCGUAAACCAUGUCAAACCAAAACCGAUCAACAUCCGAACGAAACGGAUUCGAACUUCUCCUAUAAAAGUUUCCGGUGCGAAAUGAAAUUCAUAGGAUAUAUAUGAGUAAUUCAAAGGAGAAAUAAAAAAAACUUAUUCAUUUAAAGAUUUCUCUGACAUAGGCGGGGCCACCUUCUUUGAGCCCUUGCCUCACUAGACCUAAAAAGUGGAGCUCCAAUCUGUCUCUUUCCCACACGUGCAACUCUAGCUGGUCCAGUCGUUUCCUUAUAUUCAUUCACUAGCAUUUCAAGUUUCUUUGCCGUUUUUUGUUUCAUCCGACUUAGAUUGAACUCAUGCAUGCUGUCGAAAGUCAUCUUUUGCUCGAAGGCUUGUCCAGCCUUAUAAGCACCAAAAAGUGCCAUCUCAAUCUCAAGGUGACUAGAUUGAGUGGGUUAGAGGGACCUCAGAGCAAGCAAGCAGUCACUGCAAGGAAAGCAGAGAGAGAAGCUAGUCCCGAAAGGGCUUAAGACAACUAAUCCCAGGUGCGGGAGCCUUGAGUACGCUAAUGAGUAAGGGGAUUCCCACUUCCAUAGUGGAAGGCAUAGUAUGAGGUACUGCCCGGGUCUCUUCUACCCUAUCCACACCGCCCAUCUAUGCUGAUCGAGAGCCCGACCCAUGGUGUGCUAGUUCCAGGAGCUAUAAACUACAAAAAAUGGGAAAGAGUACAACCUUCAUUGAUAAAGGUAGGUCCGCCUAGAGAGGAUAGCUUAUCUAGGAAAGGAAUUCAAAGGCAAAUGGUUUCUCCUAGGAAGGAGAUGGUGGUUGGUCGACUAAAGGUUAGAGUUAGAGGACUAAGUCGAAGCGCAGCACAUAAGCGCAUAUUCAUUCUCGGUUCCUCUGUUUGUUGCGAGAGAGCGGGAGGGCACUCAACCUUAUGUUGUGAGGAAGGGCGAGUGACGAAGAAAGAAGUGCCAUGAGCAAGGCAAAAUGAUAAGUAUGAUUGAAAGUUGGUUGCCGUUUUACCUUAACCGCUUAUAACCAGAGCAAGCAAUCAAUCUUCUAUUUAUGGCGGGAAGUCGGGCAAGGCGCUUUGAAACCCUCAGUGAAACAGUACCCGAACCGAGCUCCUCAGCGGCACCCGCAACUCGAAGAACUUCGUUUCCUGCUCUUGAUACCGAUCCUCCAUUAAAGAAGUGUUAGGAAUGCGUUGCCCUGGUAUCGGCGUCCUUAGGCUGGGGAAGAAUCUUUCCUUGUCUUUUCUCUCUUCUAUUUUGAGUUCGAAAAUUCGAUUAGGGUAGGGCGAGCAGUCCCCACUAGAUAGGCAGGGAGCAGCUCGACGAUAAGUAUCGGAGAUGGAGCAAACUCCUCACAGCACCCAACGGGCAAAAGGGGCAAUUCGCUAAUAUGGAGCUGUUUAUAUCAGCUUUCUUUCUUUGUAUGUAGGUCUAGUCCUUAUGCUUCUACCUACUACUAGAGAAUGCGGCGAUAUCUCUACUUGACGGAUCUUCCUCGAAGAACUAGAACUCUUAGAAUGAAUCUCCAAGCUAAAGCUACUAAGGAGUGGAUCUUAUAUAUGGACCCGAGACAACGAAUGGGAGAUUGGGUGAACACCUUUUCUAUGCAUGCACGUGGACGCGUCGAUCACCCCGUCUUCUAUGUAUCAAGGGCGCACACGCCGGUGUACACUUCUCAACAUACUCACAGAAACGAACACGAGCACAUCGGACAAGGUGUUGAUUGCUGUUUCCCCCUCGACUCAAAGCGUAAAUCCCGUAGGCGCGCUCUCUCUUUUACUAGGGUAGGCUUUCUGCCGGUACACUGAACACCAAUCUAGAUUCUGAAAACGAAGAAUAGCAACAGAGACCUCACGAUGAUGAGUCUCAACACCACCUCAAUUCAUAGGAGUUCUCUCUCUCUAUAGGUUCUACGUGCACAUACGCAUAUAUAAGGUGCCCUUGCUCAUUCUAGUUGGGCUGCCCUAGGGGAGGUGUUGAGAAGACUGGCUGUCGCUAGCGUUGAGAUAAGAGAGGAGAAUCCAUUUUUUACUCUUACAUUGCAAUGGCAAUUGAUUGACCUGACGGACUGGACUGACAGACUCAUCCAGAGGACGAAGACAGUCAGUAUACCCUUUCUCUCCUAGAGGCUUGGAAGAGUCCAUCUCACUACCCAGAGUAAAUAUUAUUCAAAUAGUAGAUAGAAUCCAUCUUGGCUAUCUUGAGCUUAUGAAUAAGGCUUGGGGCUACUUUUUCUUUUCUGCUUACUACUAGGGCUUCCAGCACUAAUUCCUACGCAACACCGGGGUUCCCCUGUGACCUUCACAGCGCUUUAAAAGCAAAAAAGAUAUCUUAUUUAGCCUGUAAGUCGAAGAGUCAUAGAACCCAUGCUACUAAGCAAGUCAACUACCUGUAGAGUCACUCUAUCUAAGGUAGCUGCAUACGGGGGAAGGGAGAGGCUUAUUGCACGAUCCACCCAACCCAGCUAAGCUAAUAAAUGCUGCAUAAGGGAGUGGUAGGCCGGCCCCCGCCCAUCUGGAGGUGCACGAACAUACGCAAAGGGGUAAAGAGAGAAGUCCAUGGAGAACUACCAAAUAGAAUGACUUUUCUUUGUUCGUACCGUUCUGUCAUCGAUAACUGCUGGGUCGGUUGGUGAGUCACCCCCCAAAAAGCAUCGAGAAAGGUAAAGCAUAUCUUUUUUAUGAAAUGAUAAGCGGUUUCAUUUAUGCUAUGCCCUGCCGUGUGUCUUUAUUGAGCUUUCUUCACUUCAGCGCCAUGCGCUUUGCUUCGCUUUAUAGAAGAGAGAGCCUUGUCUUGAGAGCGAAAAGCAAGGGCAAGCGAUAGAAAGGAUAGUCCCUCGCGCGAACGACUAAAAAAUGGUGAGAUCAUUAGUGAAAGAAGGACCAACGACGAUAGAAGAAGGAGAAGAAGGAGUAGGAGGAGUCAGUUUUCUUUGAAGAUCAAGGAAAAAAUAGGAAAAUUAUGCCAUUCGGAAAAAGUAUUCUACAGAGGGAAAGCCUGUUACGAGUAAGUGGAGAGGAAAGAUCUCCAGAGAUUCUUAUCUCAUUCCAUUCCAGUGGCUCAACCAGUAACCAAUGGCGAAAACUCAAAAAUCCAUGGUUUCCCGGUAGAACCCUAUUUCGCCCAAGUUGUUUCGGAACCGGAAAAAAGAAGCGGUUUUUCGCACAGCUUGCUCAUAGUGCAGGUCCCACUUGUAUAUCGUAUUUGGCCGAAGAAGCAUCGGACAGGUUGGAGUUCUUACCUUCUUGGGACUCCAUGGACCAAGAUCUGCUUUUAUUAUAUGGGCAAUACCGAUCUACUUUCACUUUAGUAGAUCAUAUGGAUGUAGAAAAAACUUAUCAUUUUGAUGAAUUGGAAACAUCUCUUUUCAAUUUCUAUUUACCUAGUUCAUAUCUUUGUUUCGUGUGUUCCCGGGAGGAAUUAAAUCUCUUAAAUCUCGGGAUACCACCUAAAUAACUGCGGCCAGAGAGUAAAGUAAAAUAGGUCGGGAAGAAAGAGUCUGGGGUCGGGCCGGACGACAUACAUCUUGGUUGGUUCCACAGCAUGCUCCUCGCUGCCCUAUGGAGUAAUACGGGGGGCAAGACUCUCUUAGAGGUAUUAACAACAUCUCUAUAUGGUGACUAUCACCUAACGUCUUUCGCUCAACAGCUCAUCACUGUUACCGUGAGAGAUGACUUGGUCGAAACCCAAGUGCCUUCCUAUGGGAGAACAAGUUAUCUUCCAUGUGGGCGAGGCUUAGUCAAGCACAAGUUUGGGUAUUUGCCACAUGCUCACUCCUUACCACUAAUGGUAUCAUUGCCAGGCGUGGGAGAUCACAUUUAGGGUUGUGUUGCUUUUGUUUGAGUAAUAGAUCUGGUCCCAUCUAGUCUAGAAUAAAUAUCAUAUAGAGAAGAGAUGGACAAAGAAGUCUGUCAAAAGGGGCCGAUGGGUCGCCCUUAAUGCCCAACAAGUCCCAUGCCUUUCUUGGUUGGACCAACCAUAGAUUUCGUUCCAAGUCUUUUUGCAUUUUUAGAGCAAGAAGCGGAACUCUAGAGAUGAAAGUGUUUCAAAUGUCGUUCACAGGUAUUUUCCAUUUUUUUACAAAUUCUCCUUGUGAUGCAGCGGAACCGUGGCAAUUAGGAUCUCAAGACGCAGCAACGCCUAUGAUGCAAGGAAUAAUAGACUUACAUCACGAUAUCUUUUUCUUCCUCAUUCUGAUUUUGGUUUUCGUAUCACGGAUCUUAGUUCGCGCUUUAUGGCAUUUCCACUCUAAAAAAAAUCCAAUCCCGCAAAGGAUUGUUCAUGGAACUACUAUCGAGAUUCUUCGGACCAUAUUUCCUAGUAUCAUCCCGAUGUUCAUUGCUAUACCAUCAUUUGCUCUGUUAUACUCAAUGGACGAGGUAGUAGUAGAUCCAGCCAUGACUAUCAAAGCUAUUGGACAUCAAUGGUAUCGGAGUGCGCCUCUUCACGAGGGUGAUUUAAGUGCAACGAAAUGCCUUAAAGUUGAAUAUGGUUCGCGAAGCAUCUGGCUUACCGGUAAUCUCCCAUUCCCGCCGUCGAGAGACUUUCAUAACUAUAGCAUGCCAGAAACGGGGAGUUGAGGUGGUUAGGCCUAUACCCCGAAAUGCUCCCAGCAUAGGAGCCUAUGGUUCCAUUCUUGUUGUUGCUGGAGGCACACAUCCCUCUUCUCGGUGUGGAGCGAUAUACGAGAAAUAGAUGCUCAGCCUGCAAUGUCCGAUAACGGCGCUGAAGUAGUGAAUCUAUCGGCACCAUAGCAGUGGCAUACAACUUUGGACCUAACGGCCGGCCCAGUAACCUUUCGGAAUGGGGGAUCCCCGUUGGCAACAACCACGGUAGUAGUUGCGGAACUACUGGGCCGGGAGAGGACAACCUCUUGUUCCUGCUCCUCUUUCUUCGCUUCGGGGACGGAGGUCCUACGGUAGGUAACAGCAGGCACAAGCAACUUGACCGAAGGGGACCAGCGCUUCUACUCCUCGGUAGAGGAGCCGUUCGCAGCGAGAAGCAAGGGAUGUCGUGAACUGUGGGAGGUCGCAGAGAAUUGACCUAUUCAUAGAGCGAUCCUAUGAUCGAUACAGGAUAUAGACGAUCUCUUUCUUUAUUCUAUUCUUUUUCUGAAAAAAAAAGAAGGGUAACUCAACUUCUCAGCUAGAGUUGGGGGCGGGACCCGUUGGCAUAAUGCACGCUGGAACGUGGGAAUUCGAGGUCUCAUGAACUACUACUAAAAACCAACUUUUUGUUGAAUUUGUGGACAAACGAUAUCCGGUCAGGCCUAUGGAUGGAUCCUUUUAGAUCUACGGGCCGGCCGUUCACACGAGCAUAGGGAAUCUAUACUCGAGCGUUCAACUGUGCCCCGGACAGGAUAGGUGAGGAAUCACUCUGGAUCUUAUUUAUUGGGGCCUACAGCUUCGCCGAGCCCGACUAGCAUCCCUUUCCCUUUCCACUGCGCAUUUAUCGAACAAAGAAGACGACUAUAGGAUCGAAUUCGCUUUCCGUGGUGAACUGGUCGUCCCAUACCUUCUGCCUGUCUCAUAUGUGUGGAACCAGGUCUUUUUCGGUUCCAGCCUCUCCCUCUCGAAUACAUAGGGUAGGUAGGGCUGGGUGAUAAACGGUUCCCUGUUGCCAAUACAAAUUCCCCGGCCUUCGAUCCCCCUUACUCAUAAAGGGUCUUACGGUCGGGAGAACUACCUAACUAAAGAUAAAUAGUGUUCUUUCUAAGAGUAGGCGUGGAGAGCUUUUUGCGGGGAAACUUGCAAGUACAGUUUGGAGGGAGGCGGGCGUCGACCCAACCUUAUGAGUAUUCGGACUAUAACAGUUCCGAUGAACAGUCACUCACUUUUGACAGUUAUACGAUUCCAGAAGAUGAUCCAGAAUUGGGGCAAUCACGUUUAUUAGAAGUGGACAAUAGAGUGGUUGUACCAGCCAAAACUCAUCUACGUAUUAUUGUAACAUCUGCUGAUGUACCUCAUAGUUGGGCUGUACCUUCCUCAGGUGUAAAAUGUGAUGCUGUACCUGGGCGUUUAAAUCAGAUCUCUAUUUCGGUACAACGAGAAGGAGUUUACUAUGGUCAGUGCAGUGAGAUUUGUGGAACUAAUCAUGCCUUUACGCGUGCGCCCGGAAAGAUAGGCCGACUGCUGAGCCCACUCUGGCUCAGCCGCACCACCCAGGGUGCGAGCCACCCGAGAAGCAAGCUAUUACAGCGAGCGGCUGGAGCAGUAUGGAGCCGAGGAGCAAGGCAGUAGAUAAGAUAGAAGAAGGGGCCAGGCUCCCGGUGGAGCAGAGGAUACGGUUAGGAUAACGAACUUGAAACGCGGAGCCCGAGCGGCCGGCGAGCGAGUGGUUAGUGGCCAAUAGCGCCCUAGUUGAUGGCAUUCCUCUCUGCGGCUGGCACUCGAGGAACCACGGGGCACUCCAUACAGAGCAAACAAGUCUUAGGGAUGAGACGCCCGCGCAAGGGCCUCAAUUCUCAUUAGGAGGUCGAACCAAGGACCUAUGGAAGUCGGGGCUACCCCGUCCCUAUGGGCAACGCAACAGUGUCCUGAGGGAGGAGUUUAGAGGCCUUAUAGUAGCACGGACUUUUUUGCUUUCUAGGUCAUGCGAAGGGGGCCAGUCCAAGAUCGUACUGUUCCUCUACAAAGACAACAGACGCUCUCAACGGCUAGGCGCCACUCUCUUUCUGAGUUCUUCCAGCUUCUUCAUGAUUUCGUGCCGCGGUGAACAAAAAAAAGAGGGCCAUCUCAGCGGAAAGAGAAGGACCUGCAACGGCAGAGACUACUGACCCUCUUCUUGUUCCUAGCCGUCUGUUACGAGUCCGGGAAGCCUCCUCAAUAUGAGGCUCAAAAUAGAGAAGGGCGGGCAGGGCUUUUUUUUCAGCUUGCUGCUCGUUUUCUCGCUUCCGAGAGGCGAAGGGGCCUGACUUACGGUUUCCAAGCCUGGCGCGAAGGGAUUUGAUUUCACCUAUGAUCAGAUCAGUGGUAAACCAUAGUUUACUUUUUUCGUGGUGUUGUUGACGUUGUUGAAAGCGCAUUUUGAAGUAGGCCUCGCUUUUCAGAGCUGCUCCCAGCUCACACUAUGGUGGAGGAGGUGCCGUGAAGAUCUAGGAGUGUGAGCAGUACGAGCUGAAAGGCUCCCAUACUGUUUGGAGGGCAGGGGGCAUAGAUGCCAAACAAACCUGACCCCUCUCUAUCGUCGUAGAAGCUGUUUCUAGGAAAGAUUAUGGUUCUCGGGUAUCCAAUCAAUUAAUCCCACAAACCGGGGAAGCUUAAGCGGAAAUGGAAGAGUAGGGUGAGGGAAAAGGGGGGAAGCAACUAAAUGGAAGGCUUCGCCCGCUCGCUCGAACGCUCGUUUAGUAGACAGCGAGUGGAGUGCAUAAGCCCCUUUAGAAAUAGGGGCGAGUACUACACGCGCUCGUAAGUAAAGUACGGAACGGGCCCUGUCUACGAAGCGGAGCGACCUCGUCUUGCUUGCUUCUGGCGAAGCUUCUAGCACUAGAGAAUAGGCAUUCUAGUAUGGCAGGAAUACUACCUUUUCUUUUAGGUCGACCACUACAUAGAAGCGAUAGCGAAGCCGUAUAAAGGCGAGCAGCCCUUAUAGCAACAGCAAACGGCCUACUUAUAGCCUUUUUUCCCUUUAUUCGGGGACUUCAACGGGCCUUACAAGCUCAUAAAAUGGCAAUUCUUCACGUUUUCCUCAGACAGUGAGAAUGAAUUACUUGAUUGACAUUGAAAGAUAUGUGUACCACGCCGAAAAAAGAAUAUGCCGAUAUGCUUGAUGUACCAGCCAAGCCGGCUCGACCAUAUACAGUAUGAGGGAUUCGCCUUUGCCUCAGACAGAAGAACAGCGGAUUGAACAGGACAACCGGGAAGGGAAGCCUGACAUAGAUAUUUUUUUGAACAAAGGAACUUAAACCGGUACCAGAAACCAAACAAGAGAUGGAAUUCCAGAUUGAACAGAUGACCGACCUACAAUAAGACGAGAAUCUAAUUCCUAAUUAAAUUCUCUAAGACGAGCUAAAGGGGUGUCUCUAAGCAGCCAAGGCCCAAGAGCAAGCAGGAGGAGAGUAGUCCUAUCCGCCUAGAAGGAUUCGAUAAAGAGAGUGUGAGCGGGCAGGAGAUUCAUAGACACAGAAAGAGAAGACCAAAAGGAGCAGAAGGCACUCAGUUCUUUAUGUGAAAUCAAGGAGCAACAGGUUACACUUUUACACUUUCCCGAAGAGAGCUCGAAGCAAUAAGAUGAAAGAUGAGAUGCUAGCCUUAGCGCGGAAGAUCAAUCAUUGAGCCUUAGGCCACUACCGAGCAGCAAUGGAGGAUCAUAACCACUUGAGAAAUGAUCCUUACUUGAAAAGGCGGAGACAAUGCCUCUUGUUUGUUGCGACAAAUCGAGUUUCAAAAGCCCAUUUAUCAAUCACAUUUUCAGGCACACCAGAGACAUCGGGCCCGCGAAAGUCCCCCCUUUUUACUAAUAUACACGGGCUUCUGAGAUGAUUCUUUAAUAAACCAAAACCUGCAACAGAGUCCUUCAUUUCUACCACUUACAAGUUGAGAGAUGUUCAAUUCCCAAUGGCAGAAGAAGGGUGCAAGCUGGAAGGACUUGGACAAGAUAUUCUUCACUCGGACAGGAGAUGCAGCGCGCUUAGCGUCGGAAAGAUCCCCCUACAUGGGUGUGCUAUCAAACUAGGAGAAGAACAGAACUAAACGGAUCAAUUCCUUUGACCGGUCGUUUCGAGUUUCCAGUUCUUCUGGAUUGCUAACGCGAUUCGAUGACGCCGACGGAAGGAACCACUGGAAAUUCAUCCAACUUCGAUCUCCUAAAGCCUAAAGACAAGUGCGUAGGCUAUAGAAUCCCUCCUUCGGCUCUAAACGGCUACUGUGCUUAUUUGGUCUAUCAACUACUCGGCCAGCUACUGACCCAAUUGGGAGCUUUUAAGUAAAGGUCGUCGGAUUUAGGGGGCCUUUCUUUCGCAAGGGUCCAGAUCAUUCCAUUGGGGAGAAACCCUUCCAUAACUAGACCCCCUUAAAGUUAGACUUAUACGUCUACACGGGUUUUUACUUCUUCCUUCAAGCGUGCCUUAUCCCAGUCUGUUGGGAAUCGGUAAAGGGGUUGGGAUAGAUGCUCCUUCAGCCGUGGCCUCCGGAGGUUCCACAAGAUGACCUGUGGGAUGAGCUAGACCAGCCCCUCAUCAGUGAAGCGGAGCCUCUGUCGUGUCAUGAGCUGAAGGAGAGGCUUACUGUCCUUCUCUCUUCCUUUGGUAGGAAAAGGCAGAAAAAAGGGGGCGUCGAUCCGCUUUGUGAGGCGGGCAGCGGACAAGCUGGGCCUGAGGAAUGCCUCCCCGCGAAAGAGGAUUAUAAUCCUCAAAGAAAUAUAAAAGCUAACUCCCAACCCCCGCAAGCGUAUGGCCAAUUCUGCGCAGAAUGCGGCGGUCCUAUUAAUCAAUAAGGUUGCGACAUGGAAGCAAACCAGGAGAGGGUCAGGGGGAAAGAUAUAUGAGAAGGGGGGCGGGCUAAGAUUCAAUUCGAAGUAACGUAACAGGAUUCGAUGUUGCACCAUCUUCAACUCUUCUCGGGAUCCGGAGUUUUUCGAGAAAAGGUCCCAUCCUUCAAUAUCAUGAUUGGGUCGACCAGGCCAGAUCAUGAGUGAAUAGAAAAUAUAAAAUGUACAUAGCUGUUCCAGCUGAAAUACUUGGAAUAAUUCUACCACUUCUACUAGGAGUCGCCUUUUUAGUGCUAGCUGAACGUAAAGUAAUGGCUUUUGUGCAACGUCGAAAGGGUCCUGAUGUAGUGGGAUCAUUUGGAUUGUUACAACCUCUAGCAGAUGGUUUGAAAUUGAUUCUAAAAGAACCUAUUUCACCAAGUAGUGCUAAUUUCUCCCUUUUUAGAAUGGCUCCAGUGGCUACAUUUAUGUUAAGUCUGGUCGCUCGGGCCGUUGUACCUUUUGAUUAUGGUAUGGUAUUGUCAGAUCCGAACAUAGGGCUACUUUAUUUGUUUGCCAUAUCUUCGCUAGGUGUUUAUGGAAUUAUUAUAGCAGGUCGGUCUAGUAAUUAGGGGGCGGCCGUUCGGUCGCCUAUGAUACUAGGACCAAUAGGUAAAAAAUGGGUUUGUGCCGCAGGUGUUGAACGAUCUACUCUACACAGGUGUGGGCUUACAGGGCUAGGGCUCAUAAACCCUUUCUUUCAUUCAUCAAUAGGGCUCUGGUCGGUCACUUUUCUGGGCCGGGAUCGAUAAGUGGAAGUCAUAAAAAAGAGAUCUUUCUCUUCGCACCUCAGAUCAAGAGGAAGGCUAGCUUGUCAAGCUGGCCUAUAUAAUAAUAAUAAUAGAAUCUAAAUAUAUAAAUACAAAGAUUCGCUGUCUUUUAACCGGCUGUUCUUCUUUGUCAACGCUACUAAGGACCUAUAGGUUCGCCUACUUUACUUAUGAAAGAUAAUGAGAACGGGUUAUUCAAAAAGGAAAAGGCGCUACUUAGCCCUACAUUAGUAUAAGUAAGCGGCUGAGUUAGCCUACCCUACUUAAUGUAUUGUAUAGUAAGUAGGCGAGCGAGUUAGCGAAGACGCUUAGGCUAAUAGAAAAGAGAGCGUCGGUGCGGAGCCUUCAUUCUACUACGCUACGAAAAGGUUACGAAGUCACUUAGCUCGACGUUAGGAGAGUCAAGGGGGAACGCCAUACCUACAUAGAAGAACCGCUGUUCGCUGGCUUUCGAAGGUCUAACCUUUUGCUCCUCUACUGAAAAGGGGCAAAGCCGCUUUGCACCACUGAUAGACUACUUAAGAUUCAAUUCAAAAGGCCCUACUUAGUUUCGCAAGCCUUUGUCAUUGUCAGUCAACUAAGUAGGGCCCGAGGCGCCCCCUGCGAAUCCGUAAAUCUGAGGAGCAUGCCGCAACAAAAGGAUGGUCCCCUAUGCAUUUCAUUCUUUCCGGAAGGUAAAAAAGUACCCCCCAUCAUAGUGAACCUCUCCUUGUGAUCGGGAUGAGGUAGAUGCCUCCCAGCCGGGGGGCGGAUCGAAUCGGAGUUUCCUUAGGUAGCCACCGACCUACAGUUAUCCUUAAACUUCCGUGCUUGGUGGAGAAGACGCGAACAAAGGUACGCUCGCUUGCUGUCUUGUUCUCUGUCGCGAACUGGGAUCGCUUGCCAGCUAGGUCAGAUUGGAGCAACAUUGUAUGAGAACAUAUUACCCAUAUUCGGGGACAAGGGGCGGAACGACCUCUCGAUCUACUUACUGCAGCCCAGGAAGAAAAACGUCGUCUAGGCGCUCCCUGUUGCUCCGAUCUCCCCUACGCCUAGGACGUUGUCUGGGCCCAAGAGCCAUAGUGAGUUGCUGUUUCCAUUUUUUUCGUUGUUGAUACCGGCAAGACCCAGCCAGAUGAUGUCUGCUGGUUGGUAGUGAGAGGGCUCUUAGUACCUGCAUACCCAAAAGGGGGCGCUGGUUCAAAAACAAUCGUUUUUUUCUUGCUCUCCCUUAGCAGCGGGAAAGGAGUCUAUCUAUCUGCCUAGCUUUGGUAGAUUUCCCCCAACGCAAUCCACAGAAAUUCCACGAAUCCAUUGGUGGAUAAGUCCGACGACUCAGCAGCAGUGCGGAAUUUAGUUUAUCGUCUGGUGGAUCUGAUCCAUAGUUAGGGGGCAAUACAUACCAAAAGGUUCGAAAAAGGAACGCGCAUAAGAGUAUAUAACCAACCCACCCUUCUGUAUAACCUAUUCACAUUAGUGAAGCGGCUGGAUGCAUAAGGGAAGCGCACGUUUGUGAGACCUUAGUCGGGAUGCAACAUAGGGGAGUUCGCCUACGAGCACGGAAGAGCGUGGUACCGCUCCGUGGGGACAGUCGACCUUUCUUUUAUACCCCGUGCUAAGAAUAGAUUUUUGUGCGGGUGCGGGCCGUUCAUGCCUUUGGAAUCGUCAGGUGCUGGCAUCUUCUGUGUGACGAACACGGCAUCUAUCGCCAACUGAGUCCUUCUCCUACCCUACAGUUUAACAACAAAAAAUUAAGAGCUAACGCCUGGCGGGCUUCUCUGGCUUUCUCUUUGUCUGCUUCUUAAUUGACUCUUAUGAGCGAGUUUCCAGUCGAUAGUGGACCAUACUAAUGCAUAUGCGGGAUUACCGGAAUAGCAACUACCACAGGUAGCAUGUCUAUCAUAGUCCUAAUCUUGCGAUAGAGUCUAAGCAGGUUGGGUUUUGCCGGAGCUAGAAGAAUUCCUCCAACCCUCUAGCUCUUUCAGCUUUUCUAGUGUUAUAACGUGGCUAAGGUGUCACUACUUUGAUCUUCUUGGGUGUCUACUACGGGUCAUCUAGGUCUUUGUUGCGCUUAAAGAUAUCUUCAAGAUGCUCGACUGUUGAAGGUGCGGGUUCUUCAAGAUGGUAGCCCAGUGCUUUCUCUGUUUGUUCUUGCGUAUAAUCAGUCUUAUCUUCUCUUUCUCUUCUAGAAUCAUUUGUAUCCCGCUCUCGCGCACUUCUAUCAAUGGUAUUAGUAGAAGAAUCAUAAGAAGUGCUAUCAUAGUAGCUGCCAUUGCUCUCAUAAUCAUAGCUAUCAUAGUAGCUGCCAUUGCUCUCAUAAUCAUAGCUAUCAUAAGAAGGCACGAAUUCAGCUUGAAAAGAUCUUAUAUAUCCACUUUCUGGUGGGGGUACAGCCAAUUCAAGAUCUUUCUAUGGUUGCGGAUCGAGAUUGGCUUAUGUUCCAAUUCUAUGUUAAAAAUACCUUCCUGAACGGGGACCUACAGUAAUAAGUUUACAUGAGUCCUCCCCCCGGUUGUGUAAGAGGGAGGAGAACAAGGUUUGCAGACUUUAAAAGCCAUCUAUGGGCUCAAGCAGUCUCCCCAGUAAGCUUCUAAGAAUGCUUUGGUUACAGCAGAGUCACUCUGGGGUCUCAGAAAAGAAAGGAGAAACUCUGCCUCGGUGGGAAGUCUCGGGAGAAAGUAAGCAAGACUUUAGAUGCGGACAUAGCUCAUGGCGAAAGGAAAGGCCUUGAAUCACUCCUUUGCAGUUCCUACCGAGUGAGUGGUAUCGUGUCGAAGGCGAGGUAACUUCUUUCUUAUAAGACCUACGGUAAGAAAGAGAAUAAGUAAAGGAUGCUGUAUAAAAUGAAAAAGGGCAUUUCACUCACCUUAGAGUGAUUACACUUAAAUAAAAAGCCACCCUGUCUGCGCUUAUCUGUUCGGUUCGUAAUGUGCUUCCUUCUUCGCGAUGGAAUGAAGUCCUUCUGAACUGGAAUCAUGAAUGGGACUCGAACCCAUAUCUACGUGCGACUUUCCUCUUAGUCGAUAUCAUGAUGGGAAGACUGAACUAUUCCCAGGUCUCGGAAUCCCUUUCUUUUUUAGGUAUGCCGCCCCGCGAGCAAGGAGUGCCACGCACGAGCGGAGCGAAAACAAAGCAAGGGGAAUUCUUAUAUUUUUUUGGGGGGGAAAUCCUUUGAUUGUGUAUUGAAUAUAGAUCCAUGUCUUUCUUGUUCCACUAGCUAGGACCAAAUUCUCACAUGCCCGUUUCGUUAUUACAACCUUAUUUUUUGAUGUCAAAGACCAGAAGCUACGCGCAAAUUCUCAUUGGAUCUCGGUUGUUCUUAACAGCGAUGGCUAUUCAUUUAAGUCUUCGGGUAGCACCACUAGAUCUUCAACAAGGUGGAAAUUCUCGUAUUCCGUAUGUACAUGUUCCUGCGGCUCGGAUGAGUAUUAUUGUUUAUAUCGCUACGGCUAUAAACACUUUCUUGUUCCUAUUAACAAAACAUCCCCUUUUUCUUCGCUCUUCCGGAACCGGUACAGAAAUGGGUGCUUUUUCUACGUUGUUUACCUUAGUUACUGGGGGGUUUCGGGGAAGACCUAUGUGGGGCACCUUUCGGGUGUGGGAUGCUCGUUUAACCUCUGUAUUCAUCUCGUUCCUUAUUUACCUGGGUGCACUGCGUUUUCAAAAGCUUUCUGUCGAACCGGCUCCUAUUUCAAUCCGUGUUGGACCGAUCGAUAUACCAAUAAUCAAGUCUUCAGUCAACUGGUGGAAUACAUCGCAUCAACCUGGGAGCAUUAGCCGAUCUGGUACAUCAAUACAUGUUCCUAUGCCCAUUCCAAUCUUGUCUAACUUUGCUAACUCCCCCUUCUCAACCCGUAUCCUGUUCGUUCUGGAAACACGUCUUCCUAUUCCAUCUUUUCUCGAAUCUUCUUUAACGGAAGAAAUAGAAGCUCGAGAAGGAAUACCAAAACCUAGUUCACUCGCUGAGUCUCUUUGCAUCCAUGGCUGAAUGGUUUUAAAGCGCCCAACCGGGCAAAUUCGUAGGUUCGAUUCCUGCUGGAUGCACUUGGAACGUUCAGUUCAAUCGCUGCUCACGGAAUUUUUACAUAUAGCUCCCCCUUAUAGCUUAUGGGGUACUUCACUCGCUCAACACUCGUUCUUCACUCGCUAGAAAAAGAAAAAGGAUAGAUGACUGAAAAUCCCGCUUAGAGAUCGCAACUAUAGUCAGAGUAGGAGUUCCCAUCCAUCAUCUCCGUCGAGGCCUCGUUUUACCUGCCAUGCCAAUUACGGUGGCUCCGCCGGAUUGAAACCUCCAUUAUAUUCGGCAACUAAGGACGAGAUUACCAUUGCAUCGGCUUUGAUGUCCCGAAUGUUCUCGGUCGCCUUGACCGGGCUCUUCACCGUAUAACUUUUCCCCGUUCCGCUGGAGCACAGCUAUACUUUCAUCGCUUUCACUAGAACCAGAGUCAUAGGGGCACUUUUUUUGCCUUCCUUAAUAAGUCUAAGUCCAGGGAUGCCCCCUAUGUUUUUUCGUGGAGCGCAUAAUUUUCCUUAAUCGGCGAGAGUAUAUACAUUUCACUGGCAAGAGCAUGAUUGAGGGCUUUCUACUGUGGUCUCUAACUCUUUAAUUGGUCAUUGGCUCUACCUAGACUAGAUGAGAUGCCGGUGCCAUUAAACUAGCUGCCAGAACGAGUUCAAGAGAUGAGGAUCCAGGUAGUGAAGUCACCCUCGGGGAAAGAAACAUGCGCCGUUCUUAGUUAGGGAGAGGGUAUGUUCACAUUGAGUAUCCUCGUAUGCUCAGUCGAGUGACAAACGUACCUAUCCCCGACGUGGGUAACGCAUCUACAAAACCAUGGUGUUAACAAGGCUCUCUCUUCUCCUAAAUCCCAUUUUUAUAUUAAAAAAGAACCGCUUUAUACUUGUUCGCUGGAAUUUAUUCCAAGAAAGUUUGGAUCUCUCCUAUGUUGUAAAAGGAAAUAAAGAAAAAAUGCCUUUCCUUCUCUUUACUGAUACAGAUGAUUGUUCGGGCAUCUAUCUCCUCUCCAAUCUCUACUAAUUAUUCGAAGUUGAGUCAGAAGGCUUCUAUCCCUCGAGGCAGGAACGUGGGAUAGCGGCGGUAGAGAGAGAAUACUGAAUCUACCCUCCUUUCCACUAAUAAGCUUGAUUCUCGAUCGCUCCUUCCACUAAUAAUCCGAGGCAGUCUCUGGUCCAGUCUUCUAUAUUCUCUAGGGAGGAGUAAAUACGAUAGACUUACUUAUCUAGUAAAAAUAAAUGAUGGCUUUCAAGCUUUACUAAUAGGGGCAUAGUUGGAGUCAAAGGUAUUUGACUCUUAUUCCGGCAUUUGAAUAAAUCUUCUAUUACUUACUGCCUUUUAGGGCUUUUUGCAAAGAAUGGUUAGGACAGAGCAUAGCCCCUUUGAAGGAGGACUCUAUAGAGGAGUCGAGUUCAAGGCAUCAAUAGUCGUCCUUUCCUUCACCCAAUCUCAUGAGAAGCAAGCCCAGCAGGCCCUGCCUUAACCUGUCCCCAGACAGCCAGCCCUCACCAGGCUGCUGGCAUUGCUAAAUGCUCCGAUACGAAGCAAGCUCUCCCGAAUACGACAGAUGCGGAAGUGGGGAAGCCGGAAGUUACUAAAUAAGUCGGAGGAAGAAAGUAGUUGGACAACUGUAUACACGAGGGUACAUUAGUAUUCUGGGAAUUGGCAACAUUGACAGAAAGGAGAGGGGGUAGGAAAACCUUUUAUAGGUGUAGCUAUACUAAAGUAGUCGGCCGUUCCCGUAACCAAGUUUUUAUUUCUCACUUCUACUUUUUAUGAAGUGUGGGGCAAAUGGCGCCCUCUACUUCUACUUCUACUUCUACUUCUAACUAAAGGCGAAGAACCGGCAUUGCAAGCAAAUAGAGAGCCCCCGCCCGUUUGAGCCAUUGCGAGCCGGAAAGCGUACCGGCAGUUUGAGUCGCGAAAGGGCUAAUAGAACUUAAUUAUAUUAUAUUUUUAUCAUUUUAAUAAUAAUAAUCUAGAAUUUAAUAAUAAUAUUAUAUAAACAAUAAUCCAAAAAUUCCUUUUUUUAUCCAAUUGUUCAUUCCUGGGAAGAGGAAGAAGCAGAUAGAGCAAAGGCCUCCUCUUUCCGCCCGCUCUUCCCGAAGUGAGCGAAUUGCAUGUAGAGAUCCGUAGGGGCUUAUAGUUUAAUUGGUUGAAACGUACCGCUCAUAACGGUUAUAUUGUAGGUUCGAGCCCUACUAAGCCUACCACCCUCUUCUCUUCACCUGAUACAAGGCAGUCGAAGUCCCCGCCGCCCUGCAGAUCUCAAUCUAGCGACGGGCACCUGGAACCACACUGCUGCCGCUGCCCUUCGGGCACGCCUCCUACGCUUAUCACUCACCUACGCUUUUGCAGCAUGCCCCCUUCGGGCAAUACGGCUUUCUAAACGCGAAGCAGCUGAGCGAUAGCUCUUCGAUCGCUAUAUUCUUGCGAUAGCGAAGGAUCGAAGAGCGAAGUUACGGCUUUAGGCGAAGAGCGAUAGCGAAAGCCUUAAGUCUUAUUGUUUUGUUCCCGAACAACGAUCAUUCAUUACGGCCGGCCCGACCAAAGACUGAAAGCCCGGUCCGGGCAAGCUAGAUUAUGGAACUGAUCUGACCGAACUGGGUCUAAUGGAACAAGAUCUCGAUCUCAAUAAGGAAUUGGAAUCUGGAAGGGCCGGCAAAAAGAAGUGCGAAGAGAGGUCUCCCUUGUAACAGGAGUGAAGAAUGACCCGACCCGGCCACAAGAAGACAGGCAGAGGGCAAUGGUACCAGACGUUAAGGAGAGAGAAGUGAGUUGGUCUCGAUGAGAGCCCAGGCGAGUCUCGUGUGUGAUAGUCUAACCCGGAUGAAGGAUAUAGUUCCCCUCCUGGUCUGGAUUAGGGUUCCAAACCAGCCCUAUCCCUUAAAGCCCCAGAGCUCUAGGUCUAACCUAGAUACAUACAGCUUGCUUUACCACCAUUCAGAGCCUUUUCUGAUAGAGGGAAGUGAGAAAUAAUUUGCUUUUCGGAUCGCCUAAUUCAAUAGCUCAAAAAAAAAAUAGGUGGAGUUCGCCCUUUAAAGCAUAGUUAAGUGUUGGGGGGUUGUUCAGCGAACGGGAAGCAAAGUAUCCAUACCAACAUUGAAGGCUUCGAAGCUAUCCAGAAGAUAUCCUUAAUCUAUAGGGGUGCUAGCGCUUGACUAAUAGAAUCUCAAGUAUAGGCUCUUCUUCUGUUUUACGAAUCUAACUAAUCUAUACUACUACUAACUAUAGUCAGACUAGGUCUUCUAGAGCGAACUAGCAUAGUAGAGUUUCUAUAUUUUGUGCUACUAGAACCAUAAGCCGCACUAUACUAUACUUUACUGAACCUCCUUACGCCGGUUCAAGUUCUUAUAAGGCAAUAAGAGAGGACUGACGCGUCAGCUUCGAGGGCGCCUUUUCUUUAAGCAUUUCUUUCUCCAUCUAAGGUCAGGGAGGAACCUGAGGGAAAAACCGCUUUCUUACCAAUUAGAAGGAAUAAAGAGGGAGCCGCUUGUCCCGGGAAACGAAGUACGCUUUGGUGAGCGAGAAGCGGCCAGGUAUAGGAGAAGGGGCGGUUGGCUUAGGAAAGAGAGUACAUAGUUCCACUUGGUGAAUAGUGCCUCGGCUCGGUUGAGUCAUUUUGUUCGCUCGGCUCGCAGCGGGCUUGUUCUAGUGGAAAGACAUUUCUCUCUGGGAAAAAAAAUAAAAUUUGUUCGCUAGAGCUCAUCACUGAAGAAGGGUGGCUUUACUUUUUGGAAUUCGAGAAGAACUUCUUCGCGCGGGCGGCGUACGUACAAGGCUGUUCGGACUCCCUCCCUCUUGUAUGAGGUGUGUUGCCAUCGUCUCUUUCCCGCCAGGUUACGCGGCAUGGAUUCGUCGAUUGACGAAUCGGAUCUUGGCUUGCUGUCCCGCCGACGAACCAGUCUAGAAGUAGAAAGGGAAGGCAAUAGAAAGAGGUCUCCCUUCCCCCCUCUGUUUGUCUUCUUCUCGCCGCUUUUCUCGCCCAUCCUGCCCUGCGCCGCUUACAGAUUCAGUUGCAGGUAUCUAAGCAUCCAUUAGUUAAGGGGGUUGGGGCGCGAAGCGCAAACCGCUCUUCGAUCUCCCGGUGAGUUGGACGAGAACGAGACACAGGGGGUUAUCUAUGAAGCAUUGGAAUUGCCCCUUUCUGUUGGAAUAGUUUAAAGUCUUCUUCUUAGGGGAUUUUCUUUUUUCUUAUCAACAUAGAGUUGGAACUUAGCCGUGUAAGUUGCGAGUGGACCAGUGUGAAGCUUGAGUUUCGUUGCCGGCCAGAGCUCCUAGCCGACGACCGGCUACCCCUUUCGAGCUCAGCUGACCCCUUCUUGAUUCAGUUUUUUCCCUAUUUGAGAUAGAUGAAUCAACGGAACUUUGAUCCCCGGUUCCUGCUUGGUCAAUUCCUGGAAGGCCCCUAUUAAUGUAAUGAUUGAACAAUAAAAGUGCGUUUGCCGCGACUACGAGCUGCCAGUGCGCCUUUCUUUGAGUCGCCCGCGCUCGGGGUCGAGAACUGGUUCAAAAGCAGAAGGUGGUCCAAAACGAGCAAUCGCUCGUUUUUAUUCUUAGCGGAUGUUAAUAAUGAAAGACAUAACAUAUAUUAGAAGGCAAUCCCGGGGGAAUUCCUAUCGAUUUCCGAUGGAUAACAAUCCAUCUUUCUCGCUUUCGCUCUUUCUCCCAAUCAGUCGCGGGGGUUCCGGGCAUGAGAACGCAAGUGCCGGAAUCAAACAAAAGGUCCGAACGUCCGAGGACGAAAGAAAAAAUGCUCCGCGGGGAACUCGUUUCAUGUCGGCGUAUUCGUGCCGGUUAGACGUCGGCCAUGAAAUCCAUCACUAUACCGAGCAGAUCACGGGCAUUCACAUCUCGGUCAAAGGGAACUGUGCGCGAUUCUCUCGUGAAUCGCCUUCAGCAAGGUAUGGCACUCAGUGUCUGAACCCGGGGAUAAAUCUUUCUUCAUAGAUACAAGACAUUCGUUGCUGAUCUAAAAAAGAUCUUCUCCCGUGGGCGUUAGCGGACGUUUUUCAUUCUUCACCCGGUCCUUAGUAGCGUUGACAAAGGUAACCGGAGGUUUACUUUAGAAACGCGCUAAACAGGCCUAUAGGUUCGCCUUUCUAAUAGAAGAAGUAUAUAUAUAUAGAAGUCUAUAUAAUAAGCCGGAUCGUCUGAAGCAUGAACAGAAUAGCCUUUGUUCCGAAGGCCUAGCGAGUUAGGCGAGUUCCUUCUUUUUUUUUAAAAGGCGGUCCUUUUCUUUCCCCGGACCGAUGACUCGCUUGUUCAGUACUGCUAACUAUUCUAGGAGGAUGUCGUCCCCUCGGGACUACCAGUCAGUAGCUUCGGUUGUUGAAUCUCGUGCAAGUUAGGUUGUGGUUGUAUUGGCUGCAAGCGGAACGUAGGCGCUUUAGGUGUGUAUUGACCAUGCACUCUCGCGUCGUGUAAUGUCGUAUGUAUUGUAUGAUAGAGGUGGUGCGGUGAUUGACCUCAAUGCUAAUGGUUAUCCCCAAGGUUCAACGAAUGGAGCUAUGAUCGUACCCAGAUAGAGAUGAUGGUCUUCCUCUGAUGUCUCCAAGUCGGCCAUAAUAGAAUAGGUAGGCGAAGCAGCCAAUAGCAGUCUGUUCUCGCCUAUCGAUAGAUAGCAGGUUGCUUCCAAGCUCAAACCAUUUGAAACGGAAUUGCUAGUUAUUUAUUGUUAUUGAUAGAGUGGUAUUCUCCGCCCCUGUAAAAUACAAGAAAGUCGAGGGGGAGAACUGGAAGAGAGAAGGAAAAAGAGCAAAGGAUUUACAAGUAUAAUGGGAGAAGAAUGGCUGACACGUUGACUGCCUUCGAGACUCUAAAAUAGAAGCCAAGCGGUCUAACCCCCGGGGCGGACCCCAACCGAAAGGCGCUAGACGGACUAACGGCAAGCGAGAUAAAGAAAGCAGCUGGCCCUAUAUGUAAAACCUUGCCGCGGGAGAGUCUUUCUCCAAUGAGAAUAAAGAAAGUUUUUGGGCAAGACAAGAAAGGAACUCGCCCUUAUCCACCAAGGGAGAAGAGCUGAUUGCUGGCGAUGACUUGGUGAAGGGAAUCUAUGAGAGAAGGUUCUCGAACCGGGUUCCGACCGAAUAGAGCGCGGAGCCAACGAGUUCAGUCGAACAACGUAACGAGUCUAAGGGCGGGAUCAAGCUAAAAAAGAAAAGGAAUGGACGGGCGUAGGCUUAAUAGUUAAGGCAGACCCCCCUGCUGAUAGAUAUGAGAUCAAUGACUUAAAAGAAAAGACAGAUGGCGAGAGAAACUGUUAGACUUCUUUAUUGCGUUGCGAAGAGAGAUCGAAGACGAAGAUUUUAUGGCGCAGUGCGGGCACUGGAUGGAAAAGAAAGAGAAGGGAACAACCUACCGGAAGGGCAUACCUCAACUCAAGGAGCACCAAUCUCCCCCGGCAAACAUCUAUCUGCACGAAGCCGACCUAUGGAUAGAAAGAAAAAUGCAGGAAAGGCAAAUGAAAUAUAAAAGAGAAACAUGCUUUGGGAGUGUGAGAUAGGCGGACGGGGAGUACGCAGCCGAACAACCGCAGGGGCUUCCAGCAGUGAUAGCUGAACUAACCAGA
rnacentral:lncRNA from 1 species